rnacentral:lncRNA from 1 species
ACGAAUCUAGAGAUAGAAUAGUGGUAACGAGGUCGAUCCCACAGGGAUUGUUAUAAAUUAAAAAGUCUAAUUUAAAUCUAAAAUUAAUAUUAAUCCUAACCUAGUUGAGCAAUUUGAAUUUUUAAAAGAAAUUAAACUUAUUAAACUAAGAAAACAAUUAAAGCAAAUGAGAAAUCAAUAAGACAAAAAUUACCAAGGUUUCGGAAUCCACCACUAUUCAAUUAGUAAUUAUUUAAAUAUUAGGGUUAUUAUCAUUUUACUACUUCAGGAAUUGACAAAUAUCAAAUGACUACAACAAUUAUUGUCUCCUAUCAUUUUACUACCAUAUCUUUAUAAAAAUAUCAUUUUACUACUUUUCCGUUACAAUUGUUAGUUGACUAACAAAAUACCAAUUUUACCCUUCAUGAUUAAAAAAAUAAUAAGAUAAAUUUUGUAAUUCAUAUAUCAUAAUUCUAGCAAAAAACAUUAUAUUGAUAUUUUAUAUCGAUUUUAAUAAAUAUAUUACAAAUUUAUUUUGUAAAUAAGCUUCAAAUAUAUUUUUUUUAAUCAUGAAGGGUGAAAUUUUUAUUUUGUUAGUCAACUAACUGGUUAACUAACAGUCAACUAAUAGUUGUAAUGAAAAAGUAAUAAAAUGAUAUUUUUAUAAAAAUAUAGUAGUAAAAUGAUAGGAGAUAAUAAUUGUUAUAGUCAUUUGAUAUUUAGUAAUUCUUGAAGUAGUAAAAUGAUAAUAACCCUAAAUAUUAAUUAAUCCCCAAUUUUAGAGUAACAACUCGAAAUCAAUCUAUGUCAUAUCAUAAAUAUAACAAUUAAGCCCAAUUAAAAUUAAUCUUGUGUAGGUUCUUUUUCUGCUUAAUAGUAUGAUAUCUAAGUAUCCCAUGUAAACAUAUUGAAUAAUAAAAAGUCAAAGUUUUCCUAAGUACUUUGUGUAAACAAUUUAAUGAAAGACAUAGAAUCAAAGAUAAUCAUGCAUAAACUUUAUAGAUCCAAGCAUAGAUUUAAUCGAAUAUUAAUCCUAACAAUCAAUAAUGCAUGACAGAAUUAAUGAAAAGAUUUUAAUAAUAUCCAAUUAAUCAUGUGAAGUAAAAAUAUAAUCAUCAAAGAACAUAUAUAGGGAAUUAAAUAAAUAAAUAAGAGAAUUAUUUCAUUAAAUAGGGUUUCAUCAUUAACCUCAGUAUAAGAAAAUUAACUAGACAUACUUGAAUAGAGAGCAACACAAGAAAUAAAAUUAGCCAUGGAAGCCGAACUGCUGCUGCUGCCGAAUACUCUCUGUCUUGCGGCUGCACUUUUUUUUUUCCUCUCUGGCGGUUGUCCUCUAAUUCCUUUUAUAUUAUAACGCCACCACAAAAUCCUCAAGUCAAAAGGAUUUUCAAACAAGCCAAGCACACCCAACUUUAAGCCCAUGCACGUGAAGCACACUUGAAAUUAAUGGUCAAUGCUUUUCCAACUAUUCACGUGAGAUGCACAAGCCAAUUAUUCUCCUUUAAGCAUCCUUUUUCCUUUUUUCUUUUAUUCUUCACAAGCGGCAAUUAUUUCCAUAAACUCUAAUUUGUGUCCUUUUUAAGCUCCCUUUCAUGAAUUGCUUCCACAAAUUAAUUUGAUCUUCAAUACUGUCCAAUUAUUAUUCCUUACGCAUUUUUCAUCCAUAAUCUCCAAUUAAUCCCCUAAUCAAUAAAAUAACUCAAUUAAUUAAAAGAAACAAAUAAAAAUAACUAGCAAUUAUAUAAUUAAGGGUAAAAUAUGUAUAUAAAUUAUGUUCAUCAGCAUACGCGAGCCAGCCUGCACGCGCGAGUUGCGUGCCAGCCUGCACGUAUCUCGCGCGCCAGCCUUCCCUUUCCCACGUGCAUCUCACCCACCACCGCCAUUAAACACCAACAGCAGCCCAAAGACUCAAUCCAUCACCAACGCAACCAACACAACACAACAACAACAACAAAACACAACAAGUCAGGUUUUUAAUAACUCACCUAGGGUUUUCAAUUUUAGUCUUUGAUUUUGGAAUCUCCGAAGAUUUUGAACGUGAUAUAGCUUAUUUCAGUCGCCGAAAACUGCCUCCGCUGUCGAUCUACGCCACUGACGAUGUAUACGGGAUUCCGGUGAUGAGAUUUUGGUGAGAGGGGGAGGAAUUGGGCUUAAGAGAAACGUGAGAAUGAUGAGGGUAGUUUGGUCCUCAAUUUUGGGAUUUGACUAAUGUUGAUUGAAAAAACUUUGGGGGAUUAAAGUUGAAAAACGCAAAAAUUUUGUGGCCAUUUAUGUAAAUUUCCCAUUGAAUAACAAAUAGAAAAAUUUUAAGCCAUAGUCUUAGUUAACACAAAUGGAUGCAAUAAUAAGCAAGAUUAGGAUACUUAACGGCUUGGCAUAUAAUUCAUGGCCAUAUUGAUCAGAUCCAGGGAAUUUUUGGUUGGAUGUUGAGCCACAAUCAUUGUCACUGUAGUCGACUUGAGGGUUUGGACCGACAUAAUCUUUGCGGAGUUUUCUUAUCACCACGACCAACACGAGAAUAAAAGGUUAUUAUUAGGAAUACAAGGACGAGAAGGGAAGCAUUGGAAGCUGAGGAGAUUUUCUUAAUUGUGAUAAGAAAUAGAUUUGGCUAAUUAAAUAAGGGUGAUGAUACAGCCACAAACUUUUGUAUAAAUUUAUCUUGUACAAACUGACAUGCCAUUAGUUCAUUGGUUGAAUGAAAAUAUAAAAUAAUAAAAACAAAUCAUGUGGGACAAGUGAUAUUUAAUUCAACCAAUCUUAUCAUGCCACGUCAGUUUGUACCAAAUAAGUUUGUAGAAGAGUUUGUGACUAUAUCAUUACUCAUUACUCAUUAAAUAAUUUGUGUCAGUGAUAUCCUAUCAACUUGUGCCUAAUAAUUUAAUUAAUUUACUUCUUUCAUAUUACAUUUACUCCUAAUGAUAAAUAUAUAAAGUCUUCUUUUUCUUCUUUUUUCUUUUUUUAAUUACGAGCAUGUAAUGCAUAUAAAAAAACAUAUUUUUUAAAUUCGGCAGCUGUAAAUGUAAUCGGCCACUUAUGCCAGAGUGUGGCUUGUUCUAAGUAUCUCUUAUUUUCCAUUUAUAUUAUUAAGCUAGAGUGUUCUAAGCAUCUUUUAUUUUCCAUUUAUAUUGUAGCAACUUCCUGAUUAUUAUAAUAGCUUUUUUUUUUUUUUUUUUUCAAUCCAUAGAAUGUAAGAAGCUCCUGAGAAUAAGAACCUAACUUAAGAAGUGAAGGUUGCCUCAAGCUUAUUACUUUGUAAGCUAAUCAGACACUUGCUUGGAUCCAUUAAUCCACAAGGGAAAGAUUCGUGCCCUUAUAUUCUGUUCAUAUGUUCUCUUGUGAACUAUUCAACUUGGAAAUCAUUGGAAAUCGUUAGAUACUGGGUACAGCUAAUGUAAUUUGGGAUUAGAGAUUCCUCUCCGACUAUUUUCUCUCCUAGUCAUUCUAUCACAAAUGACAUGAUACUCAUAUAACCGACAUGUCAUAUGCGUAUAACUGAUAUGUCAUAUAUAUAAUGUUUAUUAAAACGACUUAUCAUACAUUUCUAGAAACCCAGAUUUCGAGACCUUUAGGAUCUCCAUUGGGAUUUUUAAAUGUCCCAAAUUCUAUCCUUAAUGUGUCGGAUCAGGAUUCGAGGAACCCUACUAACCUUAGUUUCAACUCCAUCUUACUUUCUUUUAUAAUAACAUAUUCAUGAGUUCUGGUAUGUUGUAAUUAACGAUGUAUAAGUUUUUGUUUUUAGAUUAUCCUAUCUUUAUAUUGAUGUUAAAUAAUGAAUUGCAGCGGUUUUUUAUAUUGCAAGCUAUCAACCUAUGCCUCGAGAACAACAAUUGACUACUUGCAUUUUAAAAUUAUACUGAUAAAUAUAUAAUGUCUUCUGUUUUUCCCCCUCUUUUCGAAUUACGAAAAUGUAUAAUGUAAGUAAAAGCAUAUUCUUAUACAUAUAUGUGAGUGUGUCAUGGUAGUAACAUAUAUUGGAAAAAAAUUUGGAAAAAUUAAGAAGUUUUCUAAUUAACGGCCAAACACCUAAUUAGGGGUUACAGUGAGCCUUAUCCUUGAAGAUGAAGAGUAAUGUUAGUUACACAUACGAUAACAUAUAUAUGUCAUUUAGAUUGGUCUCUUUGUUUAAUCCAUGUCAUGUGGAAAGAUAGUGUAGACCCACUCGCAAAGGCCAAUCCUUUUACCUAGCCCUUGUCAUAUGGUAAGGUAGGUCGGUCAUUUCCAUAAGGUAGCGUGACCCUACUUGUAAAUGCCAUAUAGAGGCUCAAUGGUCUAAUUAAUACUCAAAACUAGCUUAAGAAUUGAGAAUUAUCCCAAUCGUAUGUUAUUAGCCCAAUAAUUAUUUAAAGCUAAUGUGCCAAGGCACCUAAAGGCUUUUGUAUAAAUUCAGUGAAUUCCUAAAUAAAAUAUGAUAAUAUCAUGAGCUUUUAGCAUAAAAUCUUCAUUUUGACCCCUGCACAUUUUCUCACAAUUUUUAAACUUUGAAGAAAAUUAUCGUUUAAAUUAUAUGGCUCCCUAACAUUAAUUUUGAUAGCAAAUUACAGCUUUACAAUUAUUAAUUUCUUAUUAAAAAUUUUCUUUCUCUCUCCUUAUUUAGAAACAAGUGAACUCACCUUUUAAACUCUAUAAUCAGUUUUGAAAGUUUUAUGUUAUAAUAUGGCCCCUGCAGAACUUGAGCUCCACCCUUGCGGCUGGUAUUACUUUAAAAUACAAUCAACCAUAUAAAAAAAGUUCAUACUUUUGUUAAGAGAAUUUGAAAACAUACAACAAUAAAUUUAUCAUGAUUUUAUUAACUGAAUAAAGAGUACAAUAAACAAUUGGCUAAUUAGAAUUUCAUGAAGGCAGGAAUAGAUAAUUCCUCCGUUGAAAUAUAAAACAAUUAAGAAUAAUUGAAAGAAAUUCUUGGGCAACUGAUUAUCAGUUGACAAGAUUGCAAACUCUUCGAAUUUGUCCGGCAGUGCCAGUUAGAGGACUGAUAUCUGCCAUCUUGAUCAUAGCAGCUGCAAAAUCAGACUUAAAUUUUGAACGAUUUUUGCUAUAUUCAUCAACAAUGGAGUCAGUGGAUCCACCACUAAAGAGAACUUGGUCUGAUGCAAGAAGUCCUUUCUUCUGAACGAGAUUCUUAAAGUAAUUGUUAUCAAAAGAAUCGGGUGUCACCAAAUCAAGUGGUGAUAGGUUGCUGUCACCACCACUAGCCGGACACUCACGUCUUCGAGUGCUUGCAAAUCCGGCGUCAAUAUCGCUUUGAUUGCUAUAAAUCCUAUCACGGAAAAAUGCACAUUGCGCUUGGCCGAUUGUAUGAGCUCCUGAAUUUCAAACGAAGCAAUUAAUUAAUAUCAAUAUGAUUAUUUAGUAAUAAUUAAAUAAGAAAUGUUAUUUUAUAUAUAUUAUGAUAUAUUAUUUUAUAUACACAUAAUGAGAUGAAGAUAUAUAUACAGAGAGAGAGAGGUACCUGAAAGGGCAACCAAGUCUCUUGCGCUAAAGCCCUUGGUAGCGAAGGUGGAAAUAAGUCUGUCCAAUCCAUCUGUAAAGCUAGGGAGAUUUUCAGCUAAGCUUCUGCUUGCAGUUGUUGAGUCUCUUCUACCAAGCUUAACUGUCCAUGAUGGUCCGCCAACCUGUAAUUAAAAUUUUCAAAUUAAUUAAUUAACCGAAAGUAACGAUGAAUUAUAUAUUAAGAUUAAUAAUACCGAACUGCAUCGGCUUAUCACUAUUUCUAUUAGCACUAUGUCUCUUAUAGUAAUUUUCUUAUAGAAAAUUAAUGAUGAUUUACUCACAGCAAAAGAAGCAUCACGGGCUGCAACAGCAACGAUAUCAGCGCAUGAAACAACUCCUGGGCAAACACUCUCCAGUUGAGACUUGACGCUGUCUAUAACUUCGAAUCCUCUAACUGAUUUAAAAUUUGGAAGUGCAUUUUUCUCGCUGUCAAUGGAGGAGGAAUCGUCCAACAAAAUGGAUGCGUCACAACCUUGAACGAAGCAAUCAUGAAAAUGGAGGCGAAGGAGGGACGCCGCCAUCCUACGCUCUCCUGAAACAGCAUUUCUAAUGCCUGUUCGGAUUGUUUUGAGGGCACGAGGGCAUGUGGCAUCAUAGAAUGUUGGUGAGAGUUGUGCUUCACAUUUUGUAGUGAUGAUCAACAACAAUAUGGAGACAAAUAUUAUUUGAGAAAGCGAAGCCAUAUUAUUAGGCUGCUUAGUACUUAAUUACAAGUAACUAUGACGAAUGAAAUGGGAUAUUAUCCGAGUGAGUGUUAUAUAUAUGGUAUAUAUAUAUAGUGCUAGCUACAUCUCUCUGAAAUUUAUUAAUUGUUUUUUGGGUUUGGUCCAUUAAGGCGGCUUCAUGCAUAUACACAUGAUUGCUGCAUGCCGUGUGUAGAGCAAAUCAAACUUAUGCUCCGAUGUAUUAAUUUUUGCAUGGGAAAUAAAUUUGUGCCUUAACAAUAUUCUGUUCAUAUGUUUUCUCGUUAAGUAUUCAACUUGGAAACCUAUGAAAAUCAAUAAUGACAGGGGUACAGCUAAUAAUUAAUUAGUUGGAAUUUCCCAACUUAAAUAAAAAUAUUAAUGUUGACCUUAUUCACGCGUAUCGUAUAAUUUACAAGAUGUGGCGCUUAACUUAUUUAAUCUGUUAAUUUUAUAUAUACUUUAGUCAGCUUAAUUAAUGCUGAAAGAUUGGGAGUCCAGUGCGAAUUAUUAGAUCAACAAACCAAAAGACGUUAAUAACAAACGCUUGUAUGUCAACCUAAUAACUAAAGUUGGAAGUAAACAUCAAUUUCGAGGUCAACUAUAACAUUUUUGUCUCCAUCUUAAUCUCUGUAAAUAAUUUAUUUUGUCAUGAAGUUUUCUGUUACCAUUUAACGUUUUUUUUUUUUUGACAGAAGUUAAUAUUUAACGUUUAUGUAAGUUUUUAUGUUGGAUUAUAAUCACUUAGGUAUUAUGUUCGAGGAUGGAUCAGAAACCCCUAAAAUCACUAAAUUUUAGUGAAAUUUCAAAGUGAGCAUUUUGUAAUUAAAAAAAAAAAAAAAACUCAUGGGCAUGGUCGGAUUCAUCGAUCUUAUUUCAAAUUUAGUGCAUAUGUUUGUGUCAAUAUUGGCGCACAUACGAAGGAAUGGAAAUAUAUAUAUAUAUAUAUAUAUAUAUAAGUAUAAGUAAAAUGACAUAAAAAAUUUCGCUCUAUAUUAAAAUACACAUAUUUAAUAAUAAAAUAAUUUUCUACUUCCAGUUAAAAUGGUAAAAAUGAUAAAUUAAUAAAAUAAUUUUAUACUUCCAGUUAAAAUGAUGAAAAUGAUAAAUUAUUCUUUUACUUAAUUGGUAUUCAAAUAAUAUAAGUAUAAUUCUGAUACCAUAUAGAAGUUUAUGAGUCUAACUUAACCUAGAAGUCAACUCAAGAGUUAAGAGUUGCCCAAAACUUACGCACUUAUCUCAAGAUUCAUUCUUACCUGAUAUGGGAUACAUCAUCCUUUACUUAGUCUUUAUUACAUGCUAACAUAGCGUAGGUCACUUUAUGAGUCGAACUAAUAUAAUAUAAAGGUGCAUAGAUCUAACUAAUACUCAAAAGCUAGUUUAUCAAGAAUUAAACAUUAUUUAAAUCUUAAAUUAUUAGUCUAAGGUCAAUUCUACGUGAAUAUGUGUGAUUGUUCCCUCAUUAUGUUUGUGAUAUUUCAUAAUAAGUUUAGAAGAUUUGAGAGCAAGGCAACAACCAACGCUUGUCAUCUCAGCAUGGAUUUUUCCCUAUCUUCGAGUUCAAGGAUGAAGCGAUGGGGUGUAAACGACUAGGCCACGAAGCUACUAUUCUUGUUUACUCCCCGGUUAUCCACUUAUCGUUUAGAGUAAUUGGCAAUUGACUUUAUCUUAGCUUAGCUUACAACUAAAUCAGAUGCAAUCAUUAUACCUUAAAAAGAAUUUAAUUAACGUUUGACAUGGAUGAUCUUAUUCAAUCUGGACGUGGCAUAUGCACGCAAAUAAUACGCAGUCUUUUACUUUAGCAAAACAAAAUAAACUAAGAAAAAAAUAAAAGUCAAGAGACUCGGAACUUUCUAAAGUACAUUGCCAACAACUUUUGGAAUUUUCUUCUUGUUUUAUGGGAAUACUUUUGUUUUUUUUUUCCUAAGUCAAACUCAAAUAUAAUCAAAAGUGAAGCAGGUAAUAGGCUCAGAAAGGAUCAACUGAUGAAUCGCCAUGGUUUCUCAAAUGCAUGCCAUCAGCUUUUGCUUCUACAAGGAUAAAUGUCCAUUAAGUUCCCAUAUGGUAGAUUAAAUGUUCAUUUAAUUUUUAUAUUGUGAAAAAUAUUUUAAAGUAUCCCUUCUAUUAAAUAUACGUUCUUAUUCUUAUUUUUUCUUUACUAUUAUAAUAAUAUCUUCAAACAAUCUUUUCAUUAUUUAUAUUAAUAUUGUUUACAAAAUUUACCAAAUUAAUAUAAAAUUAAUCUUAAAGGUAAAGUGAUAACCAAAAAUUUUACAGUAAUUUUUAUUUACUUUUAGGAUUAAUUUGAUAAAUUAAUAUUUUUUUUUAUUAACGUCCCCAAGAUUAUUGCAAAAAUAUUUUAGCAAAAGUUGAGAAAAAAUAAGGGCAGAAGAAUAACAUAUUUAACAACAGAAGUGUUCAAAAUAUAAGGACUAAACUGACAUUAAUUCAAAAUGUAGAAACUAAAUUAGUAUUUGGCAUUAUUUAAUUUAAUACAGCUGUGUGGAAAAUUUUGCCCACAUCUACAAAUACUUUUUCAUCGGUCUCAAAGAUGAUUCCCAUGCACAUCAAGCAAUCAUGUCUCCACGCAAAUAGUUUAUUAAUUAAUUUGCUCUUAAGACAAGGACAUCAACAAGCAAAUAAUGAAGAUCAGCUGUAUUUCGAAGGCAGCUUGGAAUUACAGGUCUAGGUUCUUUGUUGUUAUUGCCCGCGAAUAGCCUCGCGCCUUCGUGGACCAAACCAAAUCUGUAAUACUACAUAGUCAGCUAUCUACAUAACACUAAAAAUAAUAUGGGAGCCUUGAGCUCUUCUUUGCACCAGACGGGUUCUAUUCAUUUUUAAUAUAGAAAAAAUAGAAAAUUUACAAUAAUAUAUUACUACUAAUGUAAAACAAAUGACUAUUAUUCAACUAAAACAUAAUAAAUAUAAAAUUAAGAUAAAAUCAAUGUUAUAAAUAUAAUCAUAUUUUUCAUAAUAAGCAAUAUCUUCAUAGUAUGCUUAUUUAUUAGUUUUUUAAUUAAAUAAUAUUCACUUUCAAUAAGUUAAUUGAUUUUUCAUGGUCUCAAGCCUAUUAACGCAUCGAGAGUUUACUAUAUGUGUUCAAAAUGUUAUCCGACAUCGGUUUUGAAUAGUUAUAUAGAAGAUUGGGGCAAUCUUUAACUCUUAAACUAACUUUUAAGUAUGAGUUAGAUCCAUGAGCUUUCAUAUGGUAUUAUUGAGCGAGCUCACACUACUUUACCACAAAAAAUGACUAGGCAAAAUGGCCGGCCAACCUAAAUUACCACGUGAGAAAGACCAGGCAAAAGUACCAGCAUCAACGAGUAGGCCCAUACCACCUUUCCACAUGACAAGGACCAUAAAAGCUACUACCCAUAACAUUUCACCUUAAGGGGUAUUGCUUAAUAAGUCCCCCUGAUUACGUGUUUGACCUUUAUUUAAUAAAUUUCUCAAUUUUUCAGCUUUUUUUUUUUUUUAAAAAAAAAAGAGUUGCACCUCUAAAGUUAAGGGAAAUGGUCAUCAUACCCUUAAGUUUUUCAUAAACAACACCAAGAUUCCUUUUUAGUCAAAAUGUCCUUUGAAUAUUAAAACAAAAUAGAAUUCACAUCAAACUUUUUUAGUAAAUACAAAUAUAAUAUAAAUAAUUUAAUAUGUCUAGUAGACUAAUAAUAUUAAAAUAUUUUUUAAUAUUUAAAAUAAUUUUAAAAAUUUAAACUGCUGUAAGAUACUUUUUAUAAAGUUUAGAAAUAAAUAUUUGGGUUAAAUAGAUUUUACAAUUACUAAAAUAUUUCUUAAGUAUUAAUUAUGUUAAAAGUAUUUUAUAUAAUAUUCGAAAUAAUGUAACUUUUUGUACAUUUAUUUUAAAAUUACGUUUCCAAUUAUUAUAAAAAAAAUUAAUAUCAUAUAUUUGUCUAAUAGAUUACAAAAUAUUGAAGUUAUUUUUUUUUCAAAUAUUCAAAUUAUUUUACAAUGUAUAUAUUAUUAUAUAUUUUAAAUUAUAUUUCUAUGUAUUAGAAAUAUUGGAGUCAGAUUUUUGGGUUAAUAGAGCCAAACGAUAUUGGUCAAAAGGAGAUCUUAUUGAAAACUUGUGGUUUGUGCGACCAUUUUCCCAAAACUAGGUGUUGUAACUGUCCUUUUCUCGAAAAAGAACGUGUUACCACACACUAUGUGUGUGUAGAUUAUGCUUUUACAUACAUUAUAAUCCAAAAAUAUAUAUAUUUAUUUAUCCAUCCAUAUUAAUGUAUAUGAAAGUAAUAAAUUAGUUAAAUCAUUUUAAUUGUUGUUUUGGAGGCACAAGUUGAUAGCAUUUAAUAUAAGAAACCGCGGCAAUUCAUUUCAAUUUUGAACUUUCCGUACUUGUUAUGUUUCAAGUCUCUGAGUACUACUCCACUUCACUUUUGAAUAUAAUUCGAGUUUGAGUUGCAAAAAAGUCUUCCCAUAAAACAUAAAGAAAAUUCCAAAAGUUGUUAUUAAUAUUUUUAAUUGACCUCUUUGAAGAAUUGAGGUGGUAGGAACAUCUUCAUGUCAUUUUUAAGACUAAGGUCUAGUUUCAGUGGUAAAGAGCAAUCUUCUUUUGCUAGGUUCGAGCCUCAUUAGUUUGCAUGCAUUAAAUCAUUAAAAAAAAUAGUGACAUUUUUAGAGAGUGUGAUAUUUUCUCAAUCUGUUAAUUAUUUUAGGUAUUUAGUGUAAAAGGAUAAUUAAUCAUGAUUACGUCUUAUUUUUAGAUAUCCAAUGGUAAUUUUAUACUAGCGCACAGGUCAAGUUCAUUUGAAAAUAUGUAUGAAGAUUUCAUUAUAUUUAUAUUCUUUAUUGGCUUAGUCGAGUGGUUUUUAAAUAAUUUUAUUUUUAAGCAUGCCAUUACUCAACAUAAAUAUAAAGAUAUGAUAAUCCAAAAUAAAAAUUUAUACAUGUUAACAGUAACAUACUAGAAUUCAGGAAAAUACGUAGGGAUGACAAAUAUCCAAUUGUGAAUGGAUAUUAACCAUCCAAGUACAAAUCCAUACUUAUCCAUGAUAGAUAUAUCCAUAUCCAUAUCCCUCAUUUAAUGCUGGACAUGGAUAUGGAUUUUAUCCAUAUGGAUACGGAUAUCCAUGGAUAUUUAAUUUUUAUUACACAUAAAAUAAGACAAAAAAAUGAAAUAAAAAUAAUAAUAUGAAAUAAUUAAACCAAUAUCAGAUACUAAUGUCAAAUAAAAAAUAAUAAACAUCUCAAAUAACAAAUAUCAAAACUAUAAAUUCAUAAAAAAAAUUAUAAUACAAAAUACAACUUAAUUUCAAACUAAAUACAAAAAAGUUCAUUCUUCUAACAAGCCUUGUACAACUUAUAAGCUUUCAAUCUCUAGCUUGACCAUCAUCAUUAAUCUGCAAAUUAAAACAAAGAAUUAAACAAGUUAAAUAAUUUGUAUUAUUUAUGACCAUAAUAAUUCAUAAUUGAGCAUCAAACUGAGCAUCAAGCACGAACUAAAAAAAGAAAAAAGUGAGAAAAAGACUGCUUUUAUGGACCAUGGAACAUCUUAAAAGGUCUAAAAAGUGAUGGAAACGAACAAACUAAUGGGCACAUGGGGAGAAGAGAAAUUGUUUCCAUUUUGGUUGGCUUCAAGUCAAGUUGAACACAUUCUUACAAUUGAAAAAUUCAAGGUGAGACAUUGUGAGAGCUGCCGAUAAAGAAGAGAAGCGAGGAGAGAGAAGAAAAAAUAAAAACUAAUAAUGAAGACCCUACAAGUUAACAGAGCAAAUAAACAUAGGAAAACAGGGCAAAUAUUUACCAUUAUACAUAUAUUUUUUUUCCCAGAAACAAAUGUUGUGAAUUUUUUUUUUAAAGAAGAAGCAUUGUCUGCUAUUGCUAUCGAUCAAAGGCAAUGAAUCAAACAAAAUUCGAGAAGUGCAAGUGAAGAAAAAGAGAGAGAUUUGAGUUACAUACACAGAUGUCAAAAGAGAGAGAGAUCUGAGUUGCAGGUUUGCCUCCACUUGUUCUUUUUCUUUAGUGAUAGAGAGAAAAGAGAAGAGAAGAGGAGACGAGCAGCGAGUGAUGAGUGACGAAUGACAAGCAGCGAGCGAUGAGCGAUGAAUGACGAGCAGCCGACGAGCGAUAAGCGUCGGCGAGUGAAGAGCGACUGGUGAUAAUCUAAGGGCUUGCUAAAUAGAUAAUCUAUGACAUUCGUUUUUAUUUUUUUCAUUUUAGUUUUACAAUAUAAAUUUUUUUAACUUAAAAUUGGCUAAAUGAAUUGGAUUUUAGAUAAUCAUCAAAUAUCCAUAUCCAUUCAAUAUCUAAUUGGAUAAUUUUAAAAAUAUCCAUAUUCAUAUAAAAAAAGAUUUUGGAUGGAUAUUAUUCAGUCCAAUUGAAUUGGAUAUUUGGAUAUCCAAUUUGGAUGGAUCAAUUUGCCAUCCUUAAAAAUACUAUUAUAAAAAACAAUAAGGUGGAGUAGAAAGAGAUGCUUAAUUCCUAGCAUGUCAACUCUAAAACCGCAUUUGUUUACGCUACCAAAACCAUCAUAGUCAAAUAAAUUAAUCUCUUUUAGAAUGUCAACUCUUGAAGCUUUUGACUUUUAUAUAUACAUCAUCGUUUCUCAAGUACGGAUGUUAAAUGCGAAUUUGAAUUCGUGUGUAUUCAUAUUAAUACCAUAUGUCUUUAUUUAUUUAUUUAUUUGUAACACCAAUUGAUGUUAAUGUGAAUCUAUACGGAAUCCAUAUUUAAGCAUCCGUAUUAGAGAAUUUCUAAUAUAGAUACACAUAGAGAGAAUCAUUCUCAAGUCUGAAAAUCUCGAAUUUCAUAACAAUUUGACAACGUUGUGAAUAUACUUUCACAACGUUGUCAAACAAUUUACAAAUUUGAGAAAGUCUAUUCACACAGUUAUUAUCAUUAUAUAUGCAUGAAGCCGCCAAAAUGGACCAAAACUAAAACGAGUAUCAAUGUCAAAGAGAAGAUUAUCCGGCACGAUAAAUACAAUGCGACGAUUGAGCUUCUUCUUCAUCAUCUUUCAAUACUCAAGAUAACAAUCCAUUUAUUCAUUAGCUAAUAUGGCUUCUCUUUCUCAAACAAAUUUUACGUAUACAAUUAUUGCCUUCAUAUUGUUGUUGAUCAUCUCUACACAAUCUGGAGCACAAGUCUCACCAACAUUCUAUGAUGCCACAUGCCCUAAUGCUCUCAAUACCAUCCGAACAGGCAUUAGAAAUGCUGUUUCACGAGAGGGUAGGAUGGCGGCAUCCUUCAUUCGCCUCCAUUUCCAUGAUUGAUUCGUUCAAGGUUGUGACGCGUCCAUUUUGUUGGAUGAUUCCUCCUCCAUUGACAGCCAGAAAAAUGCACUUCCAAAUUUUAAAUCAGCUAGAGGAUUCGAAGCUAUAGACAGUGUCAAGUCUCAACUGGAGAGUGUUUGCCCUGGAGUUCUUUCAUCAUUAAUUUUCUAUAAGAUUAAUAAAAUAAGAGACAUGGUCCUAACAGAAAUAGCGAUAAGCCGAUGCCGUUCUGUAUUAUUAAUCUUAAUAUAUAAUUCAUUGUUAGUUUUGGUUAGUUAAUUAAUUUGAAAAUAUUAAUUACAGGUUGGUGGACCAUCCUGACAGUUAAGCUUGGUAGAAGAGACUCAACAACUGCAAGCAGAAGCUUAGCUGAAAACCUCCCUAGCUUUACAGAUGGAUUGGACAAACUCAUUUCCACCUUCGCUACGAAAGGCUUGAAUGCAAAAUACUCGGUUGCCCUUUCAAGUACCUCCCUCUCUCUCUCUCGGUUGGCCAAGCACAAUGUGCAUUUUUCCGUGAAAGGAUUUAUAACAAUCAAAACAAUAUUGAUGCUGGAUUUGCAAGCACUCGAAGCCGUCAGUUUAGUAAUUUAGGAUUUUGAGGAUAAUUUGGUAAAUUAUGGUGUCGAGGGCAUUUUGGUAGUUUAUGGAUGUAGGGGUGUUUGGUAAUUUUACGCAUACAGGAAUAGAUGAUUUGUGGAAAAUGUUCGUUUCGAGCUUUAUUGCAUAAAGUUAGUCGUAUUUCAUGUUACGGAUAAUAAUUAUGUCAUUUCCUUGAUUUAGGAGGAACUGCGAACGAGGACCAAUCCGCGAAUGUAGCUGAUACUUGAGUUUGAACGUAAUCAUUGUGAGCGGAAUAUACAAAAAUCCAUAUUUAUAGUUUAUUAUGAUAGUAAAACUUGAUUAUGAAAUAAGGAUUUUAAAUACUCAGAUUUAAUGAUUUUCUCGGGAUGGAUUUCACUUACGUAUUGAUAUGUUAUUAAAAAGUGUUUGGUUAAUGGUUUUCCGUAUCGAUUUUGAAUAACGCAUGAUUGUAUUUUAAAGGUAAGGAAAGUGGAUUUGAAUGUGUUAAUAAAAAGAAAAAUAUGAUUUAAAGUAUGGUUAAAAGGUAUAUGAAUAUGAGUAUAAUGAUUGUUUUUUAAAAUCAUUAGACACUACCAUUCCCCUCCAGAUAUAAUAAUACAUAUGAGAUGAAAGACCUUUGGGGCUCGUCUGGGUACACAAAGAGGUUUUGGGCCGUGUACUUGGGCGCCUUGUCCUUUAGGGACCAGAUUAUACAUGCACAAAUAUGAUGAGAUAUAUGAGAUAAUACUUUCCCAUCUAUCCGUGUAGCUCCAGGGCAUGACGAUACUUAGAUAGUAUGUCAUUGCCUGUCUGUUGAGGUCCGGAUAUGAGAUAUGAUGAGAUAUAUGAGAUGAUACUUCCAUGUCUAUCCGUGUAGCUCUAGGGCAUGAUGAUACUUAGAUAGUACGUCAUUGCAUGUCCGUUGAGGUCUGGGUAUGAAAUAUGAGACAUUUGAGAUGACAUUUCCCUAUCUAUCCGUUGCAGCUCUAAAGAAUUAUGGUUUCCUGAUUGCCCGUCCAUCGAGGUCCGGAUAUGACGAGAUUAUUCACCUGGGUACGUGUUUAGUGAUUUUUUUGAUAUUCAGUAUUUGCUAUUAUGAUUAUUAUGAUUUCCUUGAUUUUAUGUUGUAUUAUGUAUUAUUGUUAUAUUAGUACUUGAUUUAAAUUAAAUAAGUUUAUUAAAGUGCUUAUGAUAUUUUGAUGAAAUUUUUUAGAGAAAUAUUAAAUUAUUUUAAAUAAGUUUAUUUUCAAAAACUAUUAUUCAUUCACUGAGUUUUAUACUCACCCUUCUUUUAUUAUAUUCCCCCCCUCUACCCACAGGAGAUUUGCAGGUACAUCAGUCGACCCAGCAACAAUAACUAUUUUUGAAAUUAUGGUCACGUGAUGGUGUUAGGAGUCGUAGAUAUUUUUAUUGGGAUAUUUCAGAUUGUAAAAUUUUGUUGUAAUUUUUGAUAACUUAUUGUAUUUGGACAUUAGAAUGUUUGGGUGAUAUUUGGUAUGUUGAUUAAGAAAGUUGUUGAGGAAGUUGAUUGAAUAUUAAACUAUUUUUGGGAGUAUUAAUUUUAUAAAUUGCAUGUUUGGGAAUUUCAUAAUUGUAGAGGAAACUCUGCAAAAUCUUUAGUAGAAUUCUUAGAUAUUAGUUUUAUUAUUAAUUAGGUUAGAUGAGAUUAGAUAGACUCAUCCUGGGGAUUCGGGGCGGGUUGUUUCAAGUUGGUAUCAGAGCAUAGUUUUAGAAUAUGUGGACUUUACUGUUGUGAUUAGAGUAACUCACCAUCAUGAUUCAUCGUAGCAGUAGGCGUGGCCGUAGCCGUACUACACUAGUAGCUGGGUUGACUCCAGGAGAUGUACCUGCGGGGGAAAAUGCUCUUAUUAACGAAGGAGUAGUUGAGUCUUCAACGCAUGAGGUUGCACAGCAGGCACCGAAAAAUGCUCCAGACAUUAAGUAGUCAAUUGAUAAGCUAGCUUAAAUUAUGACUAUAGUGGUAUAGAACCAGACUCAUGUGCAUGCUAGUCAUGCAAAUACUAUUGAGCGUGUGAGAAGUCUAGGGGCAAAGAGCUUUAAUGAUUUAGGAGAUCCACCUGAGGCAAAAUUGUGGUUUGUCAUGUUAGAAUGUAUUUUUGAUGUGAUGAGAAGCUCAGAGGAGGAUAGACUUUCCUUUGCCACUUUUCUACUUGAGGAUAGAGCUUAUCAUUGAUGGUAAAUAGUAGAGCGUCGAUAUCGAGGACAUGCUAGGAUUAUAUGGGCUAUUUUUCGUAAUAAAUUUUAUGACCAUUAUUUCCCAAUGGUAUACCAAGAUAUUAAGCGGAGUGAAUUUCUUCGAUUGGUUCAGGGAUAUAUGUCAGUAGAGGAGUACGAGAAGAAAUUUAUGAAUCUUUCUAGAUUUGCUACUACAAUAGUUGGUGAUGAGAGGGAGAGAUGCAAACAUUUUAAGGAGGGUCUUCAAUUUAAGAUUCGUACGACCGUAACGGCAUUACAGUACAUUGAGUUUGUUGAGGUAGUUGAAGCGGUCAAGAGAGUAAUGCAUAGUAUCUUAGAGGGACGCAAAGUUUAGGCUUUGAAACAGAAACGUAGCCAGAGUUAGAGAGAGGGUGGCUCGAGUAGUAGGCCCACAUGCAAAUUAUUCCACUAGCAUCCACAAGAGUCAAAGUACAAGCUUCAGAGGAGAUCAGAGAUAGCCCGUCAGUCACAAUUCGGUACAGUCGUUAGUGGGAAGUAAUGUUAGGGCACUGGGACCGUAUGACAGAAAUAACGGAGGACACCGUGGUGAUCAUUCUAUGAGUAUAUAGCAGACUUCUUGCCCUUCAUGUGGUAGGAACCAUAAGGGUCAGUGCUGUGUUAGAGACAAGGUGUGUUAUUUAUAUGGACAACCUGGACAUAUUAGGAGAUUUUGCCCCACUUUGUCUCAGGUUGAUGCUUCUACACAAGGGACAGCCUCACAGUUUCAGCCUCACUCUAAACAGACUCAUGGUCAGAGAGCCGUACAGCCAGGGGGUUCUUCCUCUUCUACGCCAGGUUAGAGAGGUCAAUUUAGUCGACCUCAGACUCAGGCUUGAGUCUUUGCUUUGACACAACAUGAGGCUCAUGCUACACCAGAAGUUAUCAUGGGUACACUAUCUAUCUUUAGCCGCGAGGCUCAUGUUCUUAUUGAUCUUGGAUCCACGCAUUCUUUUGUUUCCCAUACUUUUACCAUGCAUGUAGAGCGAGAGUCUGAACCACUGUAUUAUGAUCUAGCUGUUAGUACAUCCACUGGGGGGUCACUAUUUAUCGAUAGUGUGUAUCGUGAUUGUGUAAUUAAAUUGUGUGAGCAUGAAUUUGGGACGAAUUUGAUUAUUUUAGACAUUUGAGAUUUCGAUGCCGUUUUGGGCAUGGACUGGCUUGCAUCUCACCAUGCUACUGUAAAUUGUUUCAAAAUGGAAGUUGUGUUUGAAAAGCCAAGGAAAACUGAGGUGAAAUUUUAUGGGGAGCGCAAAGUUUUACCCUCAUGUGUCAUAUCGGUAUUGAUGCUAGACGAUUGCUAAAAAAAGGAUGCGCCGCAUAUUUAGCACAUGUAAUAAACACAGAAGCUAGAGGGUUGAAAGCGGAGGAUAUUCUAGUAGUCUAGGAGUUUCCAGAUGCUUCAGAAAUAGGAAAUGACAACACUAAUAAGCAAAUUGAAUUCAAAUCAAAACUAAAGUUAUUUUGGCAUCGAUAUUUAUAAACAAGCAAUUCUCCGGUAACGACACCAAUAACUUAUUGUGUGAAAAUGUAACGCAAGUGCACGUAUCAUUAACAAGUAAUAAAAUGAUAAGUAGAGUAUGGUUCCCACGAGGAUUGUUGUAUUAAUUACCGAAAUUAAUUCUAACUCUAAUUUAAUUUGAAUAAAUCGAAACAAGAGUUGGAAUUUAAAUAAAACUAAAACUAAAGUAACACAAAUGCCCUUAAUGAUACCAAAGAGGUUUUGAUUAAGAAAUAAUCAAUAAUUUAAGACUCUAGGGUUUUCAAUUCACCAAGAUUAAUCCCAAAGAAAAUUCUCAAUUUCAAUCAAUUGUUAUUCUUUCCUACUUUGACAAUAGAUUUCUUUAAAGUAAUUGUAACCUUUCUUAAGCGUUAACAAUAUACUCCAAUGAGCAAACUUUCUAUAUCUCUAUGGAAGUUAUAACUCAUUGAAAUUAAUCAUGUUCAAGAAAUAGUCAUGACUGCACAAGGUUCAUAGAUAUCUCUAUCCUAUGAUAAUCUCAUGGCAUUGCAAUAAAAUGGCUUAUUCAAUUCUUACUUCUCAGUCUAAAAUCAAAUGCCAAGUUAUGCAAUUGUUGAUCAAGCAAUCACAAGAAUUAAACAUAUAUUGCAAUACUCAAUACAAUAUGAAUGAAUAAAUCUGAAGUUGAUUGAAAUAAAUGAAAAUUCACAUAUUUAUAGUCUAGAAUGAAAAGUCUAGUUCAUGAUAAAUAGAAAAGAAAUCCUAACAACUGUCUUAAACAUGAUGAUAGGGUUAAGAAAUAGUAUAAGUUAGAUGAUUCAAUCCUUUCGUCUUCGUAUUUGCAUUUAAUCACGCCACUUUCAUCCCUUUUCUUCUUUAUUUUUGUCCUUUCUCUUUGAAAAUCUUGAAGUCAAAAGUCCCCUUUAACUUACGUUUCUUUCUUUUUAUACUUCUCAAUAUUGGGUAAAUUACAUGGUAGAACAUCAAUCUGACACCAUGGUGCUGAAGAUCCUGGCCCCACGAUGCCAAAUUUCUGCUAGAAUUUUGAGGCCAAGGCAAUGCCAUGGUGCUAAAAGUGUCUCUUGCAUGAAUUUUGACUCUUUUUAUGCUCAGUUACACUCAUUCCACCAUAUGGCCUGAAUAUACCUAUGUCUGCAAAUAACACACAAAACACAUCAAAAGCAACAAGAUUACUCUUAGACUAACAAAUCAUCAAGUCUUAAGAAGUCAAUAAGAUAGUAUAAAACCAACUUAUCAUGCAAACACAGAGAAAGAGAUAGAUACCUAAAAGGGCAACCAACUCUGCGGUACUCAAGCCUCUGGUAGCAAAGGUGAAAAUAAGUUUGUCCAAGCCAUCUGUAAAUCUAGGGAGGUUUUAAUCUAAGCUUCUGCUUGCAGUUGUGGAGUCUCUUUUACCAAGCUUAAUUGUCUAUCAUAGUCCGCCAACUUGCAACGUUUUUAAAUUAAUUAAUUAAUUAACAAAACCAACAAUGAAUUAAGAUUAAUAAUAAUAAUGCAGAAUAUCAUUUGCUUAUCAAUAGUUAUUUCUGUUAACACUAUAUCCUUAUUGUAUUGAUCUUAUAGAAAAUUAAUGAUGAUCUAUCACAGCAAAAGAAGCAUCAUGAUAAGCCAAGAGAUUGGUCAUGCGUGGGGCAUGCAAAGCUAUUAUUGUGGCAAAGACUUUGGGAUGUUGUUGAGUGCGGUUUGUUGACUACGUGUCCACUAGCUUGUUAGCUUAAAAUUAGGUUGAGUAGUGAUUAUUUUAUUUUGAAUAAUCUUUGGCUAUUUUGUUGCCAUUAACUAGCGGUUAAUAUUAUAUUUCUUAGGGAUAUUAUCUAGGAAUUAGGAAUAGUUGUUAAUUUCUUUUGUAUUUAAAUUCUUUGAUAGUCAUUGUUGGUUAAUUUUUAACUCAAUUGCUAUUGAUGUCAAUGUGCAAGUGGACACAACAAGUAAUAAAGUGAUCAAUAUUCGAGAUCGUCUCCACAGGGAUUGAUGUUACUAGAAAAGCUACAACAAUCACGAUAGUGCAAACUUCCUUUGUUCCAAAAAGAUUCUAAUUAAAAGUGAAUUACUACCGAAAUAAACAAUAAAAGAAAAAAAAUAAAACAAAUCAAUGCAGUAAUAAAACAAAUUAAAUGAAUUGCGUAAGAAGAAUUCAAUGGGAAUGAGGUAGCUGAAUGAUCAAACUCUCUUCAUGGACUGACUGUUUUGUCUAAAUUAACACCAAUUGCUACAACAAUUCCUACAGCACUGGGCAGAAUUAUUUUGUAUCCUCAGCUGUCGCUUGUCAGAUUUCUCAUACCCUUAAGCACCCUAAUAAUGACCAGUUGUUAACCCACCUACGGUAUGGCAUUAUGAGCAUACACUCUCUCUACCCUACAAGGUGAAUUCCUAUGUCUAGUUCUUCACAAAUCUUAACUCAAGUAUAUAGCCCUUUUGGGACUCAAGUAAUCUCAGUCCAGGAAACUUAAAUUAAGAUCAAGUAUUACUUUAACAAUUUCCACUAAGACAUGCCUUUUUACGGCUCUAUCUUAACUUGAACCAUUAAAUGGGUGGUCAACCGAAAUAAUGAUUAUAAUAAUAGCUAUUAGAGUAAAAUGCUACAACAAUCUCGCAGCAACUCAUAAGAACAGUCAAAUACUAAUUUAGAUUGUUUGUCACUCAACUACAAUCAAAUUUAGCUCAUACUUUGAAAAAGAAAAACAAAUAGCAAAAUAUCAGCCAUGAAAUACAUCGGUUCAAUCAAAGAGUAAGUAAAGGAACAAGUAAAGAACGAUGAAAAUUGAAUCCACAAUAGUUUUGCUGGUUUAUCUUCACUGGUGCAGACUUGCUUUCCCGUGAAUUCUGAUUUUGUUCUCAUUUUCCCUUUGAUUUCUCCAAUGUUAAUUUGCCCCCCUUUUCAUAUGAUGCGUGCCUUUUUUAUAUCUGAAAACUAGGGUAAACAGAAGCCUAGGGCACGCAUAAGUCAAAUUAGGAAACUGCAGAUAUCGAUUUUGCAUAUUUCCCGCGCUAAAUUUUCUCUGUCGUUGUUCCAGGAUUGCUUCAGCAAUGGCUGCUCCAACAAUGGCUACAACACCACAUUGUUCCAGAUUUUGUUUCAAUUCUUAUGUAGUCAUGUUCUUCCUCAUUUUUGCGAGCCUAUUGCAACAGCAUUCCUUCCGUGAAAAAUAAGCUUCUGGACACCUACAAUUAAGCACACAAUUUGAGCAUGAAUUACUCUAAAUCAAGCAAAAUUUACUAAGACUAAAUUGAAAUGAAUGUUUAUGCAAAAUAUAACAAAACUACAAUGAAAAUACAUCAUUUACUCUCUAAGUAUUAUUAAUUUAAGUCUAAAAGUGCCACGAUAACUCUCAUUUCAUAGAGUUAUCAGUCAUUAAUUAAGGGAGCUUAAUCCAAUUAAAAUUAUUGUGGUCUCUUCUCACCCUAAGAGAAUACUAUCGUUACUAAACAAUUUACGGCUUUGAUUGGGACCUAUCAAUUGGUAUCAGAACCACAUUAUCCAUGGCAACUAACAAAGAGAGAAUCGAGCUCUCGGAAGCUGGAAUUGGCAGUUUGCAGGAUGGCAUGAACCGAAUGGAGCUUGGAAUAAAUGACAGGCUAUACCACUUAGAAGAAACACUCAACAAGUUAACGGAAACAAUUAUGGCAUCCAAAGGAGCAGCAAUUCAAAUCGCCCAUCAUCAAAGUGGCUCAUCACGCCCAAAUUGUGAGGAGAAUGAAGGGGGGCGACAAAAUUUUUUAUUUAAGAUGGCAAAACUUGAAUUUCCACGGUAUUCUGGCGACGACCCAACUGAAUGGUUUAAUCGUGUUAAUCAAUUUUUUUGAAUUUCAGGGUAUCAACAAUGAGCAGAAAGUAUCUCUAGCCUCAUUCCACCUUGAAGGCAAGGCUAAUCAAUGGUGGCAAUGGUUGCGGAGAUCAUAUAAAGAAAAGGGUAAGGAGGUGACAUGGGAAAUUUUUCAUGAUGAACUGUGGGCAAGAUUUGGUCCUACUAAUUGUGAGGAUUUUGAUGAAGCAUUGUCAAAAGUUGAACAAGUGGGCUCCUUACGUGAUUAUCAAAAGGAAUUUGAGCGGUUGGGAAAUCGGGUACAAGGUUGGACACAAAAGGCUUUAGAAGGGACAUUCAUGGGAGGACUCAAACCUGAAUUAGCUAAGGACAUUAGAAUGUUCAGGCCGAAAUCAUUGAAAGAAGCUAUUAGCCUUGCCCGGAUAAGAGAUGAGCAGUUAAUGCGCCAAAGGGAAUCCACAAGACUCUUCAACUGAACAGUUGUUGAUUUCUCUUCAUCAAAAAAAUUCAAACCAACAACACCUAUAAAAAGGCUCACUUGGGACGAGAUGCAGAGAAGAAGGGCUCCGGGGCUAUGCUUUAAUUGUGAGGAGAAAUUCACAACUGGUCAUAGGUGUACGAGUCCACAACUACUACUCUUGGAGGGACGUAAUGGGAAUUCAGACGAGGUUUAUGAAUGUGAACCUUGAGGACAAGGUUCCGUCAAAGGAGGGGGCAAUGAUAAGCCAAGAGAUUGGUCAUGUGUGGGGCAUGCAAAGCUAUUAUUGUGGCAAAGACUUUGGGAUGUUGUUGAGUGCGGUUUGGUUACUACGUGUCCACUAGCUUGUUAGCUUAAAAUUAGGUUGAGUAGUGAUUAUUUUAUUUUGAAUAAUCUUUAGCUAUUUUGUGCCAUUAACUAGCGGUUAAUGUUCUAUUUCUCAGGGAUAUUACCUAGGAAUUAGGAAUAAUUGUUAAUUUCUUUUGUAUUUAAAUUCUUUGAUAGUCAUUAAUUAGGGGAGCUUAAUCCAAUAAAAAUUAUUGUGAUCUUUUCUCACCCUAAGAGAAUACUAUCAUUGCCAUAUAAUUUACGGCUUUGACUGGGACCUAUCACAUCACGGGCUACAAGAGUAACGAUAAAAAUGUAUGAAACAACACUAGGACAAACACUCUCUGGUUAGGACUUGACAUUAUCUAUAACUUCGAAUCCUUUAGCUGAUUUAAAAUUUAGAAGUGCGUUUUUCUUGCUGUCAAUGGAAAAGGAAUCGUCAAAUAGAAUGGACACAUCACAACUUGGAACAAAGCAAUUAUGAAAAUGGAGGCGAAUGAGGGAUACCACCAUCCCGCACUAUCGUUAAACAACAUUUCUAAUGCCUGUGCAAACCGUAUUGAGGGCAUUAAGGCAUGUGGCAUCGUAGAUUGCUGCAUGCUGUGUUUAGAGCAAAUCAAAUAUUUUCUUAGAUCCAUUAAUGCAUGGGAAAGAUUUGUGCCUUUAUAUUCUGUUCAUAUAUUUCCUUGUUAACUAUUCAACUUGGAAAUCAUUGAAAAUCGUUAGAGAUCGGAUAAUAGCUAAUUUUGAUUGCCCAAUUUCUAAUAAUAUUAUUAAUGUUAAACAUAGACCUUAAUAUUUUUAAAGAAGAAAAGAAAGAAGUGAAUAUUUUAUGAAUUUAUUUGUUAAUGCAGCUCGUAAGCUAGCAGUCUACUCUAUUUAUGUAUGAAUUAAAUAAAAAUGUCAGAGUGUGGGUGUGCUAAUUAAUUAGAGAUUAAUUCGGAGCACCCUAUUGGCGUAUUUUAUUAGUGGUCCACAUGGCACAUUAUUGAAUGGGUUAUAAUCGGGGUUUAAAUAAUAAAAUAAAUAAUGGACUGAAAUCCUAUUGGUCAACUGGAAAAAUUAAACUGACUAUUUUGAUGGAAAGUGGGGAAUAAAGGUUUUAUUAAAAUUGAUCCUCUCUCUAGCCAAAAGAGAUAUCACGUUAAUUUUUUCUCAAUUAGAAAGUGAGUCACUCUAAAAGGAUCAAUAGAGAGAAAUCAAUUUUACUAACCUUUAUUCUUCUAGUGAAAUGUGAUCAAGAAAAUUGCUAUGGAUCAAGGUAUGUCUUCUCUCAAUUAUGGUGAUGUGAAAAUCAUGAUAUUCUAUAAUCUUAGGAAUUGAAGUUUAUGCAAAUUCGGAUUUACUUAGUUUAUGAGAAUUGUAAAAAAAAAAAAAAAUCCCAACAAUUGAAGUCUGAGCUUAGUUGAGAAUUCAUGAUUUUUCUAUUAAAGUUUAAAAUAAACAAAUACUUCCUCAGUUUCAAUCAUGCUUACAGAUUUCUAUUAAUUCUACCAUGAACCGAUUCCUUGACUUUACGAAUCAUUAAUUGUUUGAGAGAUUGGAUUUUAUUUUUAAUUCGAUAGUAGUUAGAUUAGUUUCGAAAGAAUUUAUUGUAAUGUACAAUAGUUUUCUGGCUGACUUGUUAAGUUGUCAAUGGGAACGAAACGACGAUGCUGAGAUAAUCUGCGUAAUACUGUAGUUGCAUGUGAUUGUGAUGAUCAAAAUUUUGUAUAUUGAUAAUUGAUUAAUGUGUUUGUGUAAUUAUGGAUCAAAAGAAUUGUCAAUGGCCAUCACGUGUUGUCGUCAAGCCGAAAUUAAGGAGUAAUAUUGCAUGUGCAACUUCAGUUUAGUCCCUGUUAUUCUAUUUUAUUAAGUUAUAGAUAAGUUUAGUCCCUGAUAUUCUAUUUUAUUAAGUUAUAGAUAUGGUUGAUUAAGUUUAGAACGAUAAAACUACUAACUUUAUGUGCAUCAAGCCUUAUAAGUUUUGUUCUCAUAAUUUCAAUGCUUUUGCUCAUUAACUAAUGAUUUUUGAAAUUUCGUAAUGUAACAAUUUUAAUGUUUGAAAUUUCAAUUGAUGUCUGUAGCUUCACUUAUUUUAUUAAGGAAAUUUGUUAUAGUUGUUCAAUUUGAAACUCAAAUUAUGUUUAUUUGUUAGUCACCAAAGUGGGCAAACUAAAAUGCUAUAUAGUUAUCAAAUUGAAUAAUUUUCAAACUACCCAUUAUUUGAUGCUUAUAAAUGAUUGACUAAUUUAUACAUAAUGUUAAUAAUAAAUGGGUGUUGAAUUUCAUAGUUAUAAAAUAUUUUAGAAUCACCCAAAGGUUGAUUUUUUAUUUUUUUAACCUAUGAAUGUUAUUGUGGUCAAUUAAUAUGCUGAAUUUGAUAUUUUUAGUAUAUUUGAAGAUGACUGACAAGUCUAGUUAAAGUGUAUAUAAUUGUCAAUUAUGUGUUGUUAAAUUGGGCAUCAAUUAUGUUCUUUUGUGUAUUGUUGUAUCGCCCAAAGGUGAAUUUCAAUAUGUACUAAAAGUUUAUGUGAAUUUUAUCUAAAUUUGUACUAUGUGUUUAAGUUUAAAGCAUUAAUGUGUGAGCAUUUAUGUAUAUUUGCAGCAUAUGUCCUUGUUACUCUUCAUUUACAAUCUUAUCUGUUGUUACAUUCAAUUGCCUUAAUUAUCCAGAUUGCUCUGAGCAGAUCCAGUUUCACUUAAAUGUUCUAGAUCUUGACUUGACACUAUUAACUGAAAGACCAGUUGCCAUUGCUCAAGAAAACAAUAUGGAAGAGAGAUCUUUCUAUAGGGCUUGGGAUAGAUCAAAUAGAUUGAGCCUGAUGUUUAUACGAAUGACAAUAGCUAACAACAUCAAAUCCACAAUUCCAAGAACUGAAAGUGCCAAGGAGUAUAAGGAAUUUGUAAAAGAGCAUUUUGAGCCUGAAUCAGCUGAUAAGUCACAUGUCAGGGCAUUAAUAGUUAUAUUGACCACCUGUAAGUUUAACGGUACAUGUACCACGCAUCAACAUGUGACUGAGAUGAUAAACACAGCAGCAAAGUUGAGGUCUGUGGGGAUGGAAGUGAAUGAGAGCUUCCUUGUGCAAUUCAUUAUCAACUCAUUACCCUAUGAAUAUUGUCCAUUUCAAAUAAACUAUAACAUUAUAGAAGAUAAAUAGAGUACCAAUGAACUCCAGGUCAUGCUUAUUUAAGAAGAUGCAAGAUUUAAAAAAUAAGGAAAUCACUCAGUUAACCUCAUGGGUCAUAAAGGAGCUUAAAAGAAGUCUAAAAGAAAAAAUUACCACAAAAGGAAACAAAAAAGCAUCAAAGCUAAGAGUGCAACACACCCAAGUCCAAAAAAUGGCAUCAAGAAUGAAAAGUGUCAUUUCUGCAAUAACUGUGGACAUUUUGCUAAAGAUUGCCUUAAGCGUAAAGCUUGGUUAGUAUAUUCCAAAUCAAAUUUAGCUGAAUUUUCUUAUAACACGUGGUGGUUUGAUUCUGGUUGCACUACUCAUAUUUUCAAUACAAUAUAGAGAUUCCUUACAAUCUAAACUAUAAACCCAAAUAAGAAAUUUAUCUUUAUGGAGGACAGAGUUAAAGCUCCAGUUGAAGGCAUUGGAACUUACCUUUUGAUUUUAGACACUGGACAUCAUUUAGGUUUUUUUCAGACCUUUAUAUUCCUUUUGUUUGCCUCAAUUUAAUUUCCUUGUGUAGACUUGAUUUUGUUGGAUAUUCUUUUACAUUUAGGAAUGGUUCUUUCAGUUUAACAAGACAUAAUAAUGUUAUUGGUUCUGGAAUUCUUUUUUAUGGUCUUACAAAUUAAAGCUUGAUAAUGUUUUUGUUAAAUCUCUAUUAACUUGCAUCAUAAUGUUGGCACUAUAUGUGGUUUAGUGAAUGAAAUUUUAGCUUACUUGUGGCAUAAACAUUUGGGUCAUCUAUCCAAAUAAAGUAUAUGGAUUUUACUGAUAUUGAUAUUUGUAUGGAUUGUAUUAAAUAAAAAAAAUACAUAAAUAAAAAAAGAGCCACAAAAAGUACACAGUUUCUUGAGAUUAUACACACUGAUAUAUAUGAACUUUAUAACAUUUCAUCUUUUGGUGGAGAAAAGUAAAAUCCAUAUCCUUCCAUAUAUGGAUUUUACUAAUAUUGAUAUUUGAAUGGAUUGUAUUAAGGGAAAACAAAAAAAAAAUACACAAGUAAGAAAAAAGCUGCAAGAAGUACACAUUUUAUUGAGAUUAUACACACUGAUAUAUCUGGACUUUAUAACAUUCCAUUUUUUGGUGGAGAAAAGCAUUUCAUCUGGACUUUAUAACAUUCCAUUUUUUGGUGGAGAAAAGCAUUUCAUCACCUUUAUUAAUGAUUUUUACAUUCUGAUUAUACCUAUUUGUUGCAUGAAAAAUCUCAAUCAAUGGAUGCCCUAAAGGUAUUUAUCAAUGAGGUUGAAAGGCAACUGAAUAGAAAGGUGAAAACUGCCAAGUCUGACAGAAGUGGUGAAUAUUAUAGACGAUAUAUUGAUAAUGGACAAUGCCCUAGUAUAUUUGCUAAGUUCCUUGAAAGAUAUGGCAUAUAUGCUUAAUACACAAUGCCAGAUGCACUAAAACAGAAUGGUGUAGCAGAAAGGCAUAACCGUACGUUAACAACUUUGGUUAGAAGUACAUUAAGUUUCUCAUCUUUACCUUUAGCGCUGUAAAUGAAAGCGUAAAAAACUGCUGCUUAUUUGUUAAAUAAGGUUCCUAGUAAGGCAGUUCCAAAGACUCUUUCUAAACUAUGAAUAUGAAGGAAACCCAAUUUAAGAACCUACAUCAAGUAGAAGCAAAGAUUUAUAAUCCAUAUGAAAAGAAAUUGGAUUCAAGAAUAACUAGUGGAUAUUUCAUUGGUUAUCCAAAAAAGUAUAAAGGAUACAUAUUUUAUUGUCCUAACUAUAGUACAAGAAUUAUUGAAUUUGAAAAUGGUAGGUUUAUUAAAAAUGGUGAAAUUAAUGGCAGUAUGAAAGAUAAAGAUCCUCUCCUGAUCUAAGCUCUCAUGAGCUUUUAACGAUCUUGUGUCAUGUGUCUUUACGUGAUAGUGUAUGUGUAGGAUUUAACUUCUUCAUUUUCUUUAUUUAUUAACUACCAAUCACCCACAUGUAUUUUUGCUCAGAAAGAGAUCAGAUCAUGAAAGAAUCCUAAUUCGAGUAUGAAACCAUGAAAAAUGGAAAUCCAAGAAGUUUGAGUGCAAGUUCUUUUACUAGUGACUUCUCCUAAAGUUGUUGUUCUUAUAGUUGUUGAACACAUUAACAACUUUCAAGAAUAACAAACAAAUGAUCCAGUACCCCACAAUGAAGUUGUCGAUAAUGAACCUAUGACUCAAAUGGUAAUGUCGAAUUAUACAAGGCCAGACUAUUGCUAAAUGUUUUACUUAAAAGAACAGCGUUGACUUCAAAAAGACCUUUUCUAGCGUUGACUACAAAGAAAUGAGGACACCUUUAGAAUUAUUAUGGUACUGAUGGCUCAUUAUGUUUCAAAGUUAUUCAAAAUAGAUGUGAAAACUAUCUUUCUGAAUGGAAAUUUCGAGGAAGAUGUUUAUAUGGCCCAACCUAAAGGCUUUUCAGCUGAAGAAAAAGAACACCGCAUGUGCAAAUUAGAGAAAUCAAUAUACGGACUUGAGCAAGCCUCCUAACAGUGGUAUCUUAAGUUCAGUGAUACUAUCACUUUAUUUUGAUUUAAGGAAAACAUCAUUGGUCGAUGUAUAUUUUUGAAGGUUAGUAGGAGAAAGAUUAUCUUUCUUAUUUUGUAUGUUGAUGACAUUUUGCUUGCUCCUAAUGAUCUUGGUCUAAUCCAUGAGACCAAGGAGUUUCUGUCUAAGAACUUCAAAAUGAAAAAUAUGAGUAAAGCGUCCUAUAUGAUUGGAAUUGAAAUAUUCCAUGAUAAAGUAUAAGGACUAUUAAGGUUGUCUCAGAAAGUAUAUAUUAAUAAAGUUUUAGAGACGUUCGAAAUAAAAAAAAAUGUUGUUUCAGUUUAGAAAGGGGAUAAGCUCAGCCCUAUGCAAUACCCAAAGAACGAAUUAGAAUGCAAAUAAAUUGAAAGGACUCCUUAUGCAUCCAUUGUUGGAAGCUUGAUGUCUGCUUAGACAUGCACCAGGCUAGACAUCAAUUUUAUUGUCGGGAUGCUAGGCAAAUAUCAAAGUAAUCCUGGAUUAGAUGAUGAGGAAAGUUGCAAAGAAAAUAUUGACUUGCAAUGAGUGAAGGAUACAUGCUCGUUUAUAGGAGAUUUGAUCAUCUAAAAGUGAUAAGAUACGCAGAUUUAGAUCAUGUUGGCUGAGUGGAUACCAGAAAAUCCACAUUUGGAUACUUGUUCAUGAUGCUGAAGGAGCCAUCUCAUGGAAAAAUGCAAAACAGACUGUCGUUAUUUACACUAUGGAAGCUGAGUUUGUGGUUUGCUUUGACGCCAUUGUUCAUGUGUUAUGGUUGCGAAACUUUAUUUCAGGGCUUAGAAUUGUCGAUAGUAUUACCAAGUGGCUAAAGAUUUAUUGUGAUAAUGUUGCAACAAUAUUCUUCUCUAAAAAUGAUAGGUAUUCAAAGGGUGUUAAAUAUAUAGAAUUAAAAUACCUUCCCAUUAAGAAGAAGUUCGGAAACAAAGAGUGUUAAUCGAGCACAUUAGAGCAUCGCCAAAAGAGUCUUCAAAUAAAAUUCUACUUCUUAUUUGAAGAGUCAUAUCAAUAUUAAACACUCCAAAAGACACAUUAAUUUAGAUUCUUCAAAUAAGAUUUGUUUCUCACUCUUCAAUAUUGCCGAGUGAGUUUCUCUCUCUUCUAUUAAUAUUUUAUUAUUCUUUAUUAGAAAGAUACAACACUGCCAUAAUUAUUAUUUAACAACAAUUGAACGGCUUUUUUUUUCAGCCUAUUAAAUAUUAUUGAACUCAUACCAUUAUUCAGUUUUUCACUUGACUUCAUCAAAAUGGAUCAAUUUGAUCAUCCAUCAUUUUCUACACAAAUACCUAAUUCAUCUCAAUUCAUUGAAUCAUCUCUAUCUGCAACACUUAUCGGCUCCAUUUCACAAAAGAAACACGGUGAGGCUUUUUCAGCGGAUGAAAAUAUGCAUCUUGUUUCAUCAUGGUUGAAUAUUAGUUUGGAUGCUGUCCAAGGAACUGAUCAAACACACCAAAGCUUUUGGGCUCGAGUAUGGGGUUAUUUUCACAAAUACAAGAAUUUUGAAUCGGAACGGGAUGACAAAUCAUUGAUGCAGCAUUGGUCAAAGAUACAGCAAGCCACCAACAAAUUUCACGGCUGUUUUUCCCAAAUUGAAAAUAGACAACAAAGUGGCGUGAAUGAACAAGACAAGGUAUGUAUUUUAAUUAAUUAAAAAAAUCAAUUAGUUUUGUCAUUUUAUUUGUUUAUAAAUUAAAAUGAAUUAUUUCAGAUUAUGAAUGCAAAGGCUCUGUACAAGGAAAUGUUCAAAACAAAAUUUACUUUUGAACACUGUUGGAAUAUAUUGAGGCAUCAUCCAAAAUGGUUGACUGAUAACCAAGCAAAAAGAGAGAAGAAAAAGGGUUUAAUUUCAGCUUCAUCGCCUGGUAUAUCCUCAUCAUCAACUGCAAAGACUCCUAUUAAUCUUGAUGAAAAUGAUAAUGGUGACACCAAUUUUGUUGAUUUAGAAAGACCACUUGGAAAGAAAAGUGAGAAACGUAAGAUUAGAGAAAAAAAUUCUGAUCCUCUUGUGACAAUUUUAGAAGAAAUGCGUGCAGACAAAAAAGAAGAACGAGCAAGAAAAGCAGAUAUGAAUGAGAAGAAGUAUCUUUUAGAAAAAGAAAUGGUGGAAAUAGAAAAACGAAAAGCCGACUUAGAGGAAUUGCGAGAAGAAGAGAAAAUAAUGCGAAUGGAAACAAGUGGAAUGCCUUCUCAUCUUCAAGAAUAUUAUUAUCAUCGUCAAAUGGAGAUCCUUGAAAAAAAAUAAAGAUUGAAUGUUUUGCUAUUCUAUUGUUUUAUUUUCCUUUAAAUUGUUGUAUGUUUUCAUGUAAUUUUAUAAUUAAUAUUAUAUAUUUAAUUUAUUAAGUUUUCGUAGAGCCAUGUUUUAAGCACAGCUACUGCAUGAUCUGGAAGUGCUCUUUGCGACCGCCAGUGAGGAGGCCAAAGAAAGCCUAAUUUUUGCACUGGGUUUUGGCUACUGCAACCUUGUUCCAUGGUAUCAUUGUUAGCAUUGUUAUCACUAACAGUCUUGCCUGAGACAUGAAUUUGGUCCAAUAUGGCAUUCCAAUGAUGCAACUACUGAUUGCAUUUGUUGGCAAUAUAGUUUGUAUUCAUAUCAGGAAAAACAGAGCACAUGAAUAGAAUUAUGAAAAUCCAAAAUAUAUUUAAGACAUAAUAAUAAUAAUGUCAUUUAAAAUCAUCAUAAAUUACUUAGAGAUAAAGACAAAUAUGAUAAUAAUUCAGCAUGUUAUCAAAUUACAUGGCCUUACGGGAUCCUUGAUGUUUCCACAAAUGUUCAAAGAGGUCUUUUUAAAGUUGAGAGUGAUUUUCUCUGCUUCUAAUUCGAUGAUGAUUUUGAAUAAAUUCCAUAAUUCCUAUUGUUCGUUCAAAUGAUAGUUUAACCCAAUCUUCAUUACUUACAUCAUCAUUUAAGUCCUCUAUAUCUUUAGGGAUCCUGGUAACCCAAAAAACAUAUGCCAUAUCCAGAGAUCAUAUGAGGCCACUGCUUCUAAGAUUAUUGUUGGUUCUUGGGCAUGACCAACAUACAUCCCUUUCCAUGCCACUGGACAAUUUUUCCACUUCCAGUGCAUACAAUCAAGACUUCCCAACAUUCCUGGAAACCCACGUUGUUUACCUUCUGCUAAAAGUCUAGCAAUGUCAUUUGUGUUAGGAGAUCGUAAAUAUUCAUUGUUAAAAAUUUCAAUUACUGCACGAACAAACUUUUUCAAACUUUCGAUUGCAGUGCUUUCGCCAAUUCUCACAUACUCAUCAAUAGAAUCACCGGAUACUCCAUAAGCUAGCAUUCACAUUGCUGCACUGAUCUUUUGUAGUGAUGACAAACCGAGGACUCCAGCACAAUUUCUUUUCUGGACAAAAUAUGAAUCGUGCUGUUCCAUUGAAUUUUUAAUAUGCAGAAAUAGAGGGCGAUUCAUUUGAAACCUCCUUAGAAAUUUAUCUAGAGGAUAUGUGGAAGUUUCAGAAAAGUAAUCAUGAAAAAGCCUAUCAUGACCAGCUAAUCGAUCACGCCAAAUUGUUGCGUGACGUUUAAUGGAGGCACAACGCCCAGAUUUUUUAUGUCUUCUCUUUGCAAUGGCUACCGCUGCAAUCAUCUCAAUUUCAUCAUCUUUAUCUUAAAGUUGCUAGCCAUGAAGGAAACACAAUGAGGAAAAAAAAUUAGUUAACAGGCAGAAGGUUGAACAAGUCCAUUCACAAAAGUCUAUUUCAUAAAGAGUUAAAAGUAUAAAGAGUUAAAAGUAUGAUGAAUCUGACAGCAUCUUUAUCUUAAAGUUGCUGGCCAUGAAGGAAAACAAUGGGAAAAAAAAAUAGUUAACUGGCGGAAGGAAGGUUGAGAAGUCCAUUCACAAAAAUCUAUUUCAUAAAGAGUUAAAAGUACUUUAAAAAAAUUAGAGGUUGAAUAAAUUUUUUAAACGAAAAAAAUAGAGGGUAAUUAAAUUUGUUGGAGUGAAAAAAAUUGGAGGGUAAUUAAAAUAAUUAGAGUGAAUAAUUGGAGGUUAAUUAAAUUUGUUGGAGGGAAAAAAAAUGGAGGGUAGUUAAAUUUGAUAGAGGGAAAAUUUUAAUUAAAAUAAUGUUAAUUUGUUCUUAUUUGAUGAGUCUUUUGGAAGAGAUUGUAUUUUUCUAUCCACUUAUUUACCACAUCAGUAAGUAAAUUGAAAUUUGAAGAGUAAAAUUUAAAUAGUCUUUUGGAGAUGCUCUUAGUAUCAACUUUAUGAUUCCCGAUCGUUUAACAAAAGGAGUAAACCCAAAAUUUUUUAGUGAACAUGUUGAAAUGAUGGGUAUUUCUGAAUCAAUUAUUGACAUUAUGUUUAAGUUUUUAGGCUCUUUAUGUAUUUGACACUCUGAGCUCAUUUAAGUACUGUUUUUGAUUCUUUUAUAUCUUGUUUGAUUUAAUGGUAUAUAAAUGAAUGAUGAUAUGAUUGUUAGCAGGUUUUGUCUCUAACUAAGGCAUUAUUGUUGGACCAUUAUUAUAUCUUUCUCGUUAUAGGUCAUGUUAAGCAUAAAAUUGAUAAUUUUAUGGUUUGACUAAUGCAAGUAAGGAUUAAGCUCUUACUAUGCGCAUACUGUUUAUUAUUAUUAAACCAUUAAGUUGAUUGUAUCACAUGAGCCAAGUGGGAGAAUGUUGGUGUAACGACCUGUCCCGACCUCCACAGGGCGAAUCUUUCUGCGGCUCAAAUAUAUAUUAAAUAAUAAAAAAAAAAUUCUUUUACAAUCCAUAAAAAUUAUAGUCUCCAAAUACAAAUAUAUAACGCAAAUUGCAGCGGAAGAAUUUAAAAUUCAUGCCAAACUAUCUAUUUCCUCCAUUCAAGUUCUCCUCGUCGCUCAUCAUGAAACAAUCCUGAUUUACGGAAACUGAUCACAAUAAACUAUAAUGAGUACGAAACUCAGUAAGCAAACCAGUUUUUCAUAUACUAAAAUACAUACAUACAUACAUAUAAUGCAAAUGGAUGACGUGCUACGGUAUUCGAAAACAUCGUAAAACAAUUCAUCGAAAUCUCAUUCUGUCAUUCACAAAUUUUUACAUUCUCUUUCAAAUCACUUACUUCAACUUGAGCUACCUUCAUUCAAUUACCGCUUAGUAGGACACUCCAUUAACUUUCAUAACUUUCAUACACUUUGGGCUUCUCGCCAACGCAUUCCUCGCCCACUUAUCUCAUAACUGUAAUAUAACAUCUAGAGUAUCCUCCACUAAGCCAGUAACGAAUUCAAGCAUCCAAGCAAAACUGUAAAACAAUCUUUCUCUCUUCAAAUUCUGUUUGCUAAAAUCCACUUUCUCAUUUUAUAGAAAACAUAAUGUAUUUUCGUGCUCAUGCCAAUAAAAUAUUCACACAUACGUAUGCCCAUGUCCAUAAACACACAUAACAACACAUCACAUAAACACAUGGGCAGAGCAUAUAAAUCAAUAUCUGUAUAUAUCGAAAUAGACUUUUCAAACAUGUCAACAUAAAUAUUGUUUAUUGUGAUUCGUUUGGAAAUCUAGUUUACUUACCUCAUGGCAUCCUCGAGUAACAAACACAUAUCGAUAUCAUUGACCUAAAAAUAAAUAAAAAUACUCUCAUAAGAUAAAAUUAAACCAUAAUCAUAAACUUCAAUAUUCUCAAAUUCCUCAAUAUAAUCACAUUCCGUACUUAACCUCAAAUAAUCUCAAUUUAAAUCAUAAAUCACUAAAAUAAUCAUAAUUUCUGAAAUUACGAAAUUACGAAAUUACUCUUAAUACUUCAAAAUUAACAAAAUGCCCCUUAAAAAUCAUAAUUUACCAAAUUAACCUCAAAAUCAUCCUCAAUUUCAGAAUUUACUAAAAUACCCAUAAAAUAUAUAAUUUAUAAAAUUGCCCCAAAAGUGUGAAAUUACCGAAAUGCCCUUACCAGUCAACGGUCACCGGAAUUCAACCGACGGCAAUGGGAAACUCAAAACCCAAAGGUCUGGACACACUGAGUCUAAUGGUGGCGGUGGUGACCUCCCAUGCGUGGUAAUGGCACCGGAAUCUAGCUCGAAAAUCGUUAAUGCUUAAGUGGUCGAUCGGCGGCAAAACAACGUCCCCAACGACAGUGGAUGGUCGGAAAUGAUAGAGGGCAUGGUGAGGAACAAAACCCAAGUGGUGGCGGCAUCGGAAACCGGCGAAAUCACGGUGAAUCGAGGCGGCGAUUCCUGCGACUUUCGCGGGUUCUAUCGACGGCUUUCCGGACGUUUUCCGGCGGCAAGGAUGGCAUGGAGAUGACCAGUGACUCAAGAGCUUCCGAUCGGUACCAACCUUGACCGGAGUGGUGGUAGGAAAUGGGAGAGCUGGUCGGGUCAUGUUCGCGGGUCGGGUUGGAUCCGAUUCUCUGUUUCUCUCUCUCUUCACGUAAUCUUUUCUCUCCCUUUUUUUGUCUUUAUAAAGGGUUGGGCAAAAGUCAAAUAAAACGGGGUGUGGGGUGUUACAUUUGGCGUAUUUUAUUAGUGGCCCACGUGCCACAUUAUUGAAUGAGUUAUAAUCGGGGUUUAAGUAAUAAAAUAAAUAAUGAGAUGAAAUUUUAUUGGUCAAUUGGGAAAAACUGAUUGCUUUGAUGGAAAGUGGCUAAUAAGGGUAUUAUUAAAAUUAGUCCUCUCUGGCCAAAAGAGAUAUCAUGUUAAUUUUCUCUCUAUUAAAAAUGAGUCACUCUAAAGGCAUUGAGAGAGAAAUUAAUUUUGCAAAUCUUUAAUUCUUGAAGUAAAAUUUAAUCAAAAAAUUGCUAUGGAUCAAGCCUCAAGGCAUGUCUUCUCUCAAUUAUGGUGAUGUGAAAAUCAUGAUAUUUUAUAAUCAUGGAGAUUGAAGUUUAUGCAAAUUAGGAUUUACUUGCUUUAUGAGAAUUGUAAGAAAAAUUCCCAACACCCCGGCAAAUGGAAAUUAUCAACCAAAAAAAAAACAGAAAUAAGUAGCUAAUAUUGACAUGUUUUGAUGGGAGAUUUAUUUUGGAAGGUGUUUAUUACUCCUUUGGUUUUGGUAACAAACACGGCUUGUCAAACUAGUUAUUCAUCAAUCUUAUCAUUAUUUGAAAAAUUAUCACGGCUUAGUUAUAUAUAUAUAUAUGUUUUUGCAUAAUUUCAACUGACUGUAAGGCUAAAAUGUGCUCACAUUAUAAGUUCUCUUGAUUUUAAAUAUCUUGUGAUAGGGGUAAUUUAGUAACAGUGUUUUGAUAGAAUUUAAUUUUAUUAAUAAUCUUCUUAAGGGUGUGACUAAGUGAUUUUCUAAUAGUUAUAUUUAGGGCUAAAUAAUUAAUUUGGUUUUUAAAUUAAAAAACUUGUUAAUUAAUGAAUUAAUUCAAGAUGACUCUAAAAAAAUAUCACCAUGCAGAACAAUAGAUAUCAAACUGUUAAGAAAGCAUAAGGAUGGUAUAAAAGGUUAGUGUAUUGUUGGGAUGCCAUCAUUGUAUUGGAAAGUAGCUUGACAAUCACCUUAGAUAGAAAGAGGUUACUUAAUCCCACAGUAACUACUAUCGAAGGCUUUUUUUUAAACUUAAGCUCAAACUAUAUUGAAAAGUGAAGUCGAAAUUAUAUAACAACUACGGAAAGCUCCAAAACUGGAAUGAAUUGCCGCGGCUUCUUAUAUUACGUCCUAUCAGCUUUUUUAGUGAUUUCUAAUAUUAUUUUGGAACACUAUGAAUAACAAAUAGAAAAAUUUUAAGCCAUAUUCUUAGUUAACACAAAUGGAUGCAAUAACAAGCAAGAUUAGGAUACUUAACGGCCUGGCAUAUAAUUCAUGGCCAUCUUGAUCAAAUCCGGGGAAUUUUUGGUUAGAUGCUGAGCCACAGUCAUUGUCACUGCAGUCGACUUGAGGGUUUGGACCGACAUAAUCUUUGCCGAGUUUUCUUAUCACCACGAUCAACACAAGGAUAAAAGCAUCUGCCAUAAUGUCUUGCAGUAAGGAGUCGUACGGCCAUCACAUGAGCUAUACUUUUCAGUCUAUACUUGCCGGCUGAUGCUACAAUGCCGGGCACUAAAGGCUCGGCACCAUGCCAGAAACGAAAAAAAACCGUUAGAUUCAAUUAUAUUGAAUCCAACGGUUGAGAUUAAUUUUAUAUUAAAAAAAGAAAAAAAUGGGUGACCUAGUAAACCAGUUCCCUGAAAAGAAAAGCUCAUAAUUUCCUCUCACCUCUAUCCGAUUUCUUUGCUUUCUCAAAAGAAAAAUCCCUAAAAUUUCAUCUCUUAAAUUCAUAGUUUCUCUCAUCCCAAUUUUUUCACUCAACAAGAUCAAAUCCACGGUCUCUCUCGCACUAAGCAACCAAUCGGAUCCAUCUACUCAAGUAUUUUGUUUGUACACGAGAGGUAGAGAGAGGCAGAGGCAGAGCCAGUAUCGCGCGUUGCUUCUUUUCCAACCGUCCACCGUUCCUUUGUUGCAAUGUUGUCUAUCAUUGUAUUGGAAAGUAGCUUGACAAUCACCUUAGAUAGAAAGAGGUUACUUAAUCCCACAGUAACUACUAUCGAAGGCUUUUUUUUAAACUUAAGCUCAAACUAUAUUGAAAAGUGAAGUCGAAAUUAUAUAACAACUACGGAAAGCUCCAAAACUGGAAUGAAUUGCCGCGGCUUCUUAUAUUACGUCCUAUCAGCUUUUUUAGUGAUUUCUAAUAUUAUUUUGGAACACUAUGAAUAACAAAUAGAAAAAUUUUAAGCCAUAUUCUUAGUUAACACAAAUGGAUGCAAUAACAAGCAAGAUUAGGAUACUUAACGGCCUGGCAUAUAAUUCAUGGCCAUCUUGAUCAAAUCCGGGGAAUUUUUGGUUAGAUGCUGAGCCACAGUCAUUGUCACUGCAGUCGACUUGAGGGUUUGGACCGACAUAAUCUUUGCCGAGUUUUCUUAUCACCACGAUCAACACAAGGAUAAAAGCAUCUGCCAUAAUGUCUUGCAGUAAGGAGUCGUACGGCCAUCACAUGAGCUAUACUUUUCAGUCUAUACUUGCCGGCUGAUGCUACAAUGCCGGGCACUAAAGGCUCGGCACCAUGCCAGAAACGAAAAAAAACCGUUAGAUUCAAUUAUAUUGAAUCCAACGGUUGAGAUUAAUUUUAUAUUAAAAAAAGAAAAAAAUGGGUGACCUAGUAAACCAGUUCCCUGAAAAGAAAAGCUCAUAAUUUCCUCUCACCUCUAUCCGAUUUCUUUGCUUUCUCAAAAGAAAAAUCCCUAAAAUUUCAUCUCUUAAAUUCAUAGUUUCUCUCAUCCCAAUUUUUUCACUCAACAAGAUCAAAUCCACGGUCUCUCUCGCACUAAGCAACCAAUCGGAUCCAUCUACUCAAGUAUUUUGUUUGUACACGAGAGGUAGAGAGAGGCAGAGGCAGAGCCAGUAUCGCGCGUUGCUUCUUUUCCAACCGUCCACCGUUCCUUUGUUGCAAUGUUGUCUAUAGCAUGAGCUGCCAUCGAAUCAGCUGCAGGAAGCUUUUAGGGUGGCGUAUCCUGGAAUGGAACCAAAAAAAGAGUUGAGGUUUAUGUUUGGAGUCAUUCUUGGACUGGAAGAGCAGCGUGGAUGAGUUGCAGGAAGAGCAGUGUAGCUCGAGGUAACUCUUCUGUUCUCAUCAUGUAAAGGACCUAGUGUUGUGAUGCUAACUAGUAAGUCCUAGUUUUUUUAUUAUCUUUGAUCAUUUUGCACUUCCUCACUUGCAUUCUCUAGAUUUUUAUAUUUAUCAUCAAGGAGAGGUGAAAUUAUUAUUUAAUGACUAGUAUUUUGUAUAUCACUAGCAUUAUUCUUUAUUUUUUGUGAUUUUGCUUUUUAAUUUGUUUAAUUGGGUGUAGCCAUUAUAUUGUGCCUGAAUUGGUAGUUGAUGUGAACUAAUCUUAUGCAUCUUGCAAGGGUAUUGAAGAGUAUAUAAAGGGAAAAUCUCUAAGUUCUCUUCAAAAUAUUAGAUUAACUGAUUGUGUAAUGUCCUUUUUCUUUUUCUUUUAUGCAAUACAGCUUGGUGUGGAAAAACACAAUGAGAGCUUAUAAACAGAAAGAGAGCUAACAAAUAUUUUUAUUUGUUUCUUUUUCUUUUCCAGCCGUUGAACCUCGAUAAUCAUUACCGAAAUCAUUACUGUGAAAGCCGAAGUUGUGACGAAGCUCCUCAAAACAGCUGAAAGGUUUUAUUUUAUUUUUUUUGCUCUACAAAUUUUCCUGAGAUGAUUAAUGGUUUGAAGAGAUGAUUAAUGGUUUGGAAACAUGAAAUUGGCAAGAAAAACAUGAGAAAAUGGUGGGUUGUAGGGAGAGAGAGUGUAGGUUAUGAGUUUUAGAGAGAGAAGAAGAAACAAAAAAAAGUUAUCAAACACACUUCUGUCUGGGAAUACACUUCCUACUGGAAUAUAUCAGCUAACCGUUAUGAAAUAAACGGUGAACCGUUAUCUUCCAGAGUUAGAAUAAUAUGUUUAUGGAAAUUGUCGGUUCACCAUUAGCUCUUGUUAUUGUCUAGAAUUGUAAACACCGUUAUUGUUUUUCUUUUAGCUCUCGUUAUAAAUUUAAUUGAUACUACAUUUAUGUAUGGUUUAUUUCAGGAUUUGAAUUAUAACAUACAGUUAUAAAAUGGAGUCAACAGAAGCUAGAAGGGGAGGACCUGGUCAGAGAGCGUGGAUACACUUUUUGUAAGUAUAAAAUUAUUGCUUUGAAUAAAGUUCUUAUUAUAACUAUCAAUUAUGUUGACGUAAUUAGCUGAACUAAAAUGUUGUGUACAGUAAGCAUGAAGCAGAAAAGGUCAGGCAAGAAGGGAUAAAAAAAGUUUGUAGGGCGACAAUUGUUGAAAAAUGGAAGAAAUUAACGAAUGAGGAGAAGUGCCGAUUUGGUACGAUGCAUGAGGACCCAAGUUCAAAUGUUGGUGAAAUGAGCAUUGAAAAAACAGAUGAAGAACAAAAAAUUGAGGAUAAGCAUAGCCAAUGUAAUUUAUCUCGUUGUCGUGUCAGUGCAUUCAUUAAGGUCAUUUCCACACUGUCACCCGACCAACAAGCAGCAAUUAGAGAAAUUGGCUUUGGAAGCAUGCUAGAAUUACGAUGUGGUCGCCUGAGACAAGACUUAUGUGAAACACUUGUCCAACAAUGUGAUACAAAGAGGCAUUGUAUAGUUUUGCACGGGAGAGAGUUUUGUUUAAACCCUACAACCUUCAACAUCAUAAUAGGGAUCAAAGAUAGAGGGGAACCAGUAUACAUCCGAGAAGAAGCGGGUGAUAUAAUUGAACUGCGGGCCAAGUAUAGAACAGGUGGAAGAGGAAUUGAAAUAGCCGUAGUUAGUGAAAGAUUGAUAGCUAGUGAGAGUAGUAAUGAUGACUUUAAGAUCAUGUUUUGUUUGUUUCUUCUAGGAACUGUAUUGUGUCCCACAAGUGCCAGCUACAUCAAUCCGAUGUAUCUGCAUGCCCUAAAAGAUGUGCAGUUAAUUAGGAAAAAGAACUGGGCUACAUGGUGUUUCAACUUUCUGUGGGAGGGCAUAGCGAAGUAUAAAGAUCAUCAAGUGAAGUCAGUUAGUGGUUGUGUUGUGUUUUUAGAGGUAUAUUUAAGAAAUCUUAGAUGCCAUAAUUAAUUUGCCAAAUACAAAAAUAAAAUGACGUAGUGAUUGUUUUUUGAAUGAACAGUUGUUCUACUUUAGUGUUGUUUUGUAUGAUCGGUAUUCCAUGGACAGAACAGUUUGCCUUGUUAGUGUAUAGACCAAGGAAGAACAGUUUGCCCUGUUAGUGUAUGGACCAAGGAAGAGAUUCGGCGCUUAUUGAAUUGGCGGAAAAAGUUUGGGGACAUGACAAGUACUGAGGUUUGUUUAAUUUUUUAUCUUGUUCACACAUGUAUUUAAUUUUGUUUACGGUUAAUUGAAUAUAUUUUGAUUGUCAUUAUGUAUGAUUGUUGUGCAUAUUUAUUUUAGGUUCCAAUGCGUGAAUCAAAUUUUCUGCAGCUCGAAAGAAAUUUCCCUCAUUUUGAACAAACCGAAGAUGCUGGGCCGAGCACUGUUAAUAUGGAGGAAGCUUUUAGGGUACUAACACAGUGUGUCCACAGAAUUGAACACAAAAUGGAUUCGUUCAAUGUGAGAAUGGAAAUGGUUGAGAAGUCUUUGGAGGAAUUGAGAUCCAAGUCUCCGGUUGGUGCACCAUCAAAACAACCAUCUGAUCCAUGCCCGCAAUCUCCGAGCUUGAAAAUAGUAGAACCAACAUGUUCAGUCAGAAAAACCAAGCCAACCACUGAUGGAAAAAACAAAAUGGUAAUGGAUAGCGACGAGGACUCUGUGGAUCGCAGAUUGAACCUGAGCCUCGAUAAAAUAAUGGGCUGGAUGGGGACAAGAGAAGGAAUCGGUGAAUUUCGCAAAGAUCCUACCCACUUUGUCCCUAUUCCACCACCUAAUCUCCGAGAUGAGGUACAGUUUUAUAACGUCGUUUUCUUAAAAUUAUUUCGAUGAUAACUCACUUAUGAAGUAACUUACAUAUAAAUUUAUUUUUUAUAAAGGAUAUAGAUGAACCAGUUCAACUUAAGUAAGAACCUCAAACAUCUACUAGUGUCAGUGUCCUGCCAACGCGACCAAGUAGGAAUCGUAGGCCAGGCCGAUAUCAACUUUCACCGUACGAUCAAGUGUCCAGGGGAGCAAAUCCCAAGUAUAAAGCUGGUCCGUUUCAAGUCAAUGAUCCAGUUACGCUGGAAGAAUUGAAGCUUAUUCAAUAUGCUUUUAACAAAGAGGCGGAGGGAAGGUAAAAUUCAGAAGACUGAAAUUAGUUUUCUGUAUAUAGUUGUUAUGCUAUACGACUAAAAAAUUACCGUGUUUUGUCUUUAGUGAAAUCAUUGUUUCUAGUUACGGCGAAAUUCUUAAUCGGCAUUCUUUAUUGACUCUUUUGCCGGGGGCUUAUCUAUGUGGCGAGGUAUUAGGUUUCAACAUUUGGUGAUGUCACAAUAUAUGUUUGUCGUUUAUUAUAUGUUAUUAUAUAUCUUAAUAAAUAUGAUCACUUUUAGGUGAUUUCUAUGAAAGCACAUCACCUCACCCUCAUUCAGCAGGUGGUGGAGAAAGAUGUGCCAAUGAACUGGUAUUUACCAACAAGAUAUUCUGUGAGUCUCGCCGGUACUUGUUGCAUUGUGCUUUGGUUUCUUUAUUGACAACUUCCUUAUGCAACGUUGUCUUUAUUAUGUGUAGCAAGCAGUUUUAAUGGUCGGAGAUGAGGUGGAUUGUUUUGCAAGGGCAGCUAGAUGUGGAAAGAAUUUUAUGCAACAGGUGCAUAGGUGUCAAAAGGUUAGUUUGUUAACCUUUAACUUAUUUCAGUUUCUACUAGUGUGCUUGGUGUAUGACAUUGACAAUUGAAAUGUCAGAUUUAUGUGCCAAUAAACGAUGAAUCAUCUCAUUGGUACCUACUGAUCGUGAAUGUCAGAAAUACAAGUGCUGAAAUAUGGGAUCCUCUUCCAGAUCCCCGCAGUAAUAGAAAACGACACGAUCAAGCCAUGCACAUUGUAUCGUAAUCAUGUUCUUUAUUUUUGUUAUCUAUUUAACAUUAUCAAUUAUGUAUAUUGUGUUAUAUUCAUAUCCAUAAUAUUGUCUGGUUUUCGACAUUGCCGACAGCUACAUUCCUUGGAUUGGAUUCUGCAGCCCCAAUUGCCAAGCAAUAUGCAACACGUGAAGUUUCAAGACUUUCCAAUCAACCGAGGCAUUGGAGUUCCAAAGCAAAGGAAUGGAUAUGACUAUGGGGUUUAUGUGAUAAACUAUAUGGACAGCCCAGAAUUUAUUCCGAAGAAAUCGUCAACUUUGGUACGACUAUGCCAAACUUGUUUAAUUGUUGAACUCAGAAUUUUGUUAACUUCAUAAUUAUAUAAAAGCUACUUAUUAUAUGAAAGUAAUAUUGGUUUCUUUUCAAAUUGACCAGUUCACAUCUGAGGAUACACGGGGUAGGCUAGCCAUUCAACUAAUUAAUUAUGCAUUGAAUCAAAAUCGAGAUAAAUUGCUGGAACUAAGCAAUGCACAGUUUGCGAUUCAUGCUGUAAUAGUGAACCCUGUAUCCUCUCAACAUUCGUCCUUGGCCGUACAGCAGUAUCCUCUCAACAUUCGUAAGAAGAAAGUUAACACGAGAACGCGCGCUUAGAUAUCGAACCAUAGUAGGGAAUGAUUAUGCAAGUGAUUGCAUACUAUUUUUUGUUGUAAGUUGUUUGAAACGUGUUGGGAGGUAAUACCGUGACUUUUUUUGUCUUCUUGUUUACGAUGGUUGUAAAAUCAAUUGUAAUGGAAAAUUAUCUUUAAAUUUAUGACAUGGUUAUGUAUUCUCGGCCGAGACAUAAUUCAACUAUAAUGAACAUAUGCAUGUUAACAGUGUUCACAUCUCAUCAUUUUAUAUUAAACUGGUUGUCAUGUUGGUACAUGAUAGUGGAAUUCAAAUGGUAAUACAUAUUGAGUCAUGUUAAUGGCAUUGUUUAAUGAGGCCACCAAUAAAAAACAUUUGAAAAUUGGUUGCUUGCAUGACCUAACAAUGUUGGAUUGACACCAGCAGAGGCUCCAGGAUUCUGGGUGCUUGAUGAAUCGAAUGCGGCAAAACAGUUUCCAUCGACACUAAAAUCAAUACCAUGAAAGUUAUUUGCAAUGAAAUAUCCAACAAUGCAAUAAUUAAACACAUGAUAAAGAACUUGGGACAUACCUUAGUUGGGUGCUAUCAUUCCCUUGAAUAGAACAAGUUCGUGUUGUAUGCCCAACUUGACGACAUUUUCCACACUUUCUAGAGCUUUCUGCUACACAUUUCGCCCUUGGUUUUUACAACUGCAGGAUUACGAAGUUUUGUUCCCAUCCGUAAUUUUUUAUUUGGGAGACCGUCUUGUUCAGAUUGUUGUUCAUAAGUUAAUGUUAGGCGAUUGAUUUCUACCAACGCAUUUUCAUAGGCUUCAACGUUUUUUGCUGCAUUGUAGCACAUUUUAUUGCAGGCUGUAGACAAUGCACUAAAUCUAGCCAUCUCUGAAACAUCGGUGUCAACUUCUAGUUUUGUGGUCCUGCAAGUAUUGUGCUCCUUGGCUUUUUUUGUCCAUCUACGAAGAACCAUAUUGUCAGGAAUCUUUUCAAUUUGUUCCACUUUCAAGACAUGAAACAUAUGCCUACAAGAAAGCCCAACAGACUUCAUCAUUUGACAAGAACACUGUAUGUGGUUUUCUUGUAGAUUGUGGAUGACAUUCCAACAUGUUGUAGGUGUCCCAAAUUCAGUCACUGUGUACAAUGCAACAUCGACAGCUUUGACAUUUUUUACUUCGAUGACCGCUCCUUCUCGCAGCAUCUCAUCUCUAACCUUCAAAAAAACUUUUAACGGGAACAAUUGUGCAGCAUGCUUCUCCAGGCUCUGUAAGUGCGUUCUUAAGACAGGAGUACUGUAUUUGGUUUUGAACUCAUCGAAUGUUUCUGUGGUACAAAUAUUACGGAGAGCACGAUCGAUUUGUCGCACAAACUCAUACAAUUUUAGUUUAUAUUGGACAAAUCGGCUAAGAUAUGCAUUCAUACUUUCACAUCGUUGAGUGCUUCGCAUACCAGCAAAGAAUGUUCCUCUAAGAUAAGCUUCUGCCCAGUUGCACCGCUUCGAAUACAUUUUCUGUACCUAUGCAUGAUGUUCAAGUGCGAAUUCAGCCACUACCGCUGACCAUUGGGUUUCAAAUUCAGCUACCGUCAUAGGUGUCAACAUCAAAUCACGAAAUUUUCUCGUAAAGUCCUCGUUCUUCAAAUUAGCCUUCGCAUUGCGCUCGAGAUGCCAACAACAAAGACGAUGGAUGCACCCGGUAAACAUUGUCUUUAUUGCAUUCGACAUUACCUUGUCACCAUCAGUAAUUACAGACACGGGCUUUUGGUUGCCCAUAGUGGAUAGGAAAGUUUGCAGCAGCCACGUGUAUGAGUCAAUUGUCUCAUUUGCGAGCAAAGCAAAACCGAAGACCGUUGUUCUGAAGUGAUGGUUUGUUCCGACAAGUGUUACGAGGGGUUUAUGAUAUGCAUUAGUCUUAUACGUUGCAUCGAAUGCCAACACAUCACCAAAACACUGAUAGUCAUAACGAGCUACACAAUCAGCCCAAAACAAAUUUCGUAGUCUAUUUUCAUCAUCUAGUGUGUACUCAAAGCAAAGCCCAGGGUCAUGUUCAGAUUUUGCCGCAAAGUAUGCUAUAGUUGUGUCUGAGUCAGAAUCUCCAACCUCCGCAUGAGUGGAAGCAUCUAGUGUGUUUUGCAUGUCUUUGCAUGUGAACCUUAGGUUUUGAGGCCCCUUUACCUGGAACCUUAGGUUUUGAGGCCCCUCUACCUGAUCAGCCAUGUAAUCCAUGAAUUGGCAAGUCUUCACACCAACAUGCCUUAAUGCCUUUGCUUGCGCAAGUUCUGCAUCAGUAACCUUUCGAUGUGAACGAAUGAAAUGAACUUCAUUAGUAGAAGCCAAAUUACUUAACUUAUGAAAAGUUGAAAACUAGGCACCAUAGAUGUUGAACGAGAUUUUAGAACAUAGCAUUUGAGACUAUGUUUUGGAGUGACUGUGUUUUUUGUGAAGAAGUCUUCGACAUGAGCCUUAGGAUAAUCCCUCAUUAAUGGAGGGAAGGUGAGUUUUUUUUUCAUCACAUUUAUUGCAAACCUAACCAACCAAACGUGGUAAUUUUACCUUUAUUUUUUUUUAACUUUAUACAGGACAUGCUUGCUGUGAACAACCGGUUAACCGGUUAGGAAAUUCGGUUAUCCGGAUUCGAAUGACAGCAAGAGACAUGCUUGCUGUCAAAAUCUGGAUAACCAGAUUCGCGUAUCCGGUUAUCCGGAUUCGAGUGACAGCAAGAGACAUGCUUGCUGUCAAAAUCUGGAUAACCAGAUUCGCGUAUCCGGUUAUCCGGAUUCGAGUGACAGCAAGAGACAUGCUUGCUGUCAAAAUCUGGAUAACCAGAUUCGCGUAUCCGGUUAUCCGGAUUCGAGUGACAGCAAGAGACAUGCUUGCUGUCAAAAUCUGGAUAACCAGAUUCGCGUAUCCGGUUAUCCGGAUUCGAGUGACAGCAAGAGACAUGCUUGCUGUCAAAAUCUGGAUAACCAGAUUCGCGUAUCCGGUUAUCCGGAUUCGAGUGACAGCAAGAGACAUGCUUGCUGUCAAAAUCUGGAUAACCAGAUUCGCGUAUCCGGUUAUCCGGAUUCGAGUGACAGCAAGAGACAUGCUUGCUGUCAAAAUCUGGAUAACCAGAUUCGCGUAUCCGGUUAUCCGGAUUCGAGUGACAGCAAGAGACAUGCUUGCUGUCAAAAUUUGGAUAACCGGAUUCGCGUAUCCGGUUAUCCGAAUUCGCAUGACAGCAAGAGACAUGCUUGCUGUCAAAAUCUGGAUAACCAGAUUCGCGUAUCCGGUUAUCCGGAUUCGAGUGACAGCAAGAGACAUGCUUGCUGUCAAAAUCUAGAUAACCGGAUUCGCGUAUCCGGUUAUCCGGAUUCGCGUGACAGCAAGAGACAUGCUUGCUGUCAAAAUUCGGGUAACCGGAUUCGCGUAUCCGAUUAUCCAGAUUCGCGUGACAGCAAGCAUGGCUUGCUUGCUGUCAAAAUCCAGAUUCGAGGGGAUGCUUUCUGGUCCAGAACCGGAUAACCGGUUGUGAAAUUCGGAUAUCCGGAUUCGUGGGAAUGCUUGCUGGUCAAUGCACAUUGGUCAUGUUCAAUUGCUUGUUUUGGCUCUUACUUUUCAUGUUGAUCUAUUGUUUUCAUAUGAAUUCAAUUAUAUCUGAUAACUUUCACCACCAUUUUAUACGGCUUAUUACAUCUUUUUUACUUUAUAUGAUGACAUUAGAGCUUCUUUUAAGUAGAUUUCUGAACAUCACAAUAAUGUUUUUCAAGAGACAGCAAGCAUGGCUUGCUUGCUGUCAAAAUCCAGAUUCGAGGGGAUGCUUUCUGGUCCAGAACCGGAUAACCGGUUGUGAAAUUCGGAUAUCCGGAUUCGUGGGAAUGCUUGCUGGUCAAUGCACAUUGGUCAUGUUCAAUUGCUUGUUUUGGCUCUUACUUUUCAUGUUGAUCUAUUGUUUUCAUAUGAAUUCAAUUAUAUCUGAUAACUUUCACCACCAUUUUAUACGGCUUAUUACAUCUUUUUUACUUUAUAUGAUGACAUUAGAGCUUCUUUUAAGUAGAUUUCUGAACAUCACAAAAAUGUUUUUCAGGGCAUUAUGUUCCUCAGUUAAGCAAAGCAAUCAUAAGGCACAACCAAGCAACUGGGGAAAAAGCAAUUAAUCUGAAGGGCUACAUGGUAUAGAGUCUUUUUUCUGAAAUAGCAGUGAUUCAUGCUCAUGAAGUGUAUGCAAACAACUUGAAUGGUAAUAUGCUUGAGAGUUAAAAUAAAAUCCUCAGUUAAGCAAAGCAAUCAUAAGGCACAACCAAGCAACUGGGGAAAAAGCAAUUAAUCUGAAGGGCUACAUGAUAUAGAGUAUUGUUUUUGAAACAGCAAUGAUUCAUGCUCAUGAAGUGUAUGCAAACAACUUGAAUGCUAAUAUGCUUGAGUAAUGCAGGUGGGAAAUGCUCUAACUGAUGAUUACCACGAUUACUUGGGCCUUUUCCAGUUUUGGUGGUCAGCUGGUUUGAUAUCUGAUGAUACGUACAAGCAACUAAACCUUCUAUGUGAUUAUGAGUCCUUUGUCCACCCCUCCAGUUCUUGUGAUAAGGUCCUAGAUGUUGCUGAUAAUGAACUUGGAAACAUUGACCAAUACAGUAUUUUCACCCCUUCCUGCACUGCCAGUGUUAGCCAGUCAAAUCGGCUGCUUAAAAGAAUGCAUGUGAGUAAAUCAUUUUAUGAACUAUGUACUUAUUAAAUUGUAGGAACUUUCAUAUUCUACUAUUUUCCUGUAGGUUCCAUUUAUGUUGAAAUAUGAUGUCAUCUGACAGGUUGUUGGUCACGCCAGCGAGAAGUAUGAUCCUUGCACCGAGAAGCACUCUGUUGUGUACUUCAAUCAACCUGAGGUUCAAAAGGCUCUCCAUGUUAUUCCAGCAGUUGCAUUGGCAAAAUGGGAGACUUGCAGGUAGUUCUAUGAAGAAGUGCUAAAAAAUUAUUAGACUCGUAGCUAUCACCGAAUCCAAAUGAAGGAGAGUAAUAAUACAUCAGCAUUGGCCUGCCUUGUUGGAAUCCAUUAUGGAAAGUGGAACCUUAAGCUUGUAUCCACAAUAUUAACAGCUGACAUUUUACAUCCUUCAUUGUUGACUUAGGUGGCACCAACAGCAUGCCCUCAUGAUUUUCUUUAUUUUUACUGCUUUGCAGUGGGGCGUGGUAAAUAAUAACUGGCUGGAUUCUCCUAGGAUAGUGCUGGACAUUUAUCAUGAGCUUAUACAUUCUGGACUUCGUAUAUGGAUGUUCAGGUUCUCUGAAUUUCUGAAUUUGCAUUUACAUCUUUGCUUUCUUAUUUCAAAUUUAUUCCUACACAUGGUAUGCUUUCCCCUCACUGUGUCAUCCAUAUUCCCUCCAUUGUUUAGAUAGAGAUUUACUGACAUUCUUAGUUUUGUUUCAUUUUCUAUACGACAGUGGUGAUACAGAUGCUGUGAUCCCAGUUACGUCCACCCGUUACAGCAUAGAUGCUCUUAAUCUUCCAACAGUGAAGCCCUGGCGUGCCUGGUAUGACGAGGGGCAGGUGAAUUAUACUACAAAACCAUUCAUUACCUAUAUAUUGUAAAUAAUAUUUUGCAUAAUGAAAUGUAUGGAACUUAUAUUUAUUAAUUUUACAGACAGUAGUCCUAAGAAAUAAAAUAACAUGUUAAACAGGUGGGAUGAUGGACCCAAGAGUAUGCAGGACUUACCCUUGUCACCGUGAGGGGAGCAGACCACGAAGUCCCAUUGCAUAGACCCAAACCUGCUCUCACACUAAUCAAAAGCUUUCUAUCAGGAAGGUCAAUGCCAUGCUUGGAACGAGUCAGCCUUAGUGACUCGUGAAGCUUGCAUUCUCACAUGAAUUGUAAAAUAAAGAAAGCAUUUGUGAUUCUUAUAAAAUCUGAAGCAACUUUUGAGAUCAUAACGGAAUUCGUCAAGUUCUUAUUUUCUUAGAUAUCUUGCAAUGAAGCAUGGGGAACCAUGUGUAAUAUGUAGUCUGUGCAACUGCAACGGGUGUCACAUUAACAAGAUAACAAUAUUUGGCUUUAUGUUUUCCAUGUUAUUCUUGUGUGCAGUUCUAAUAUAUACUUCUCUGCUGUAAGGGAAUUUUUGGUUGAUCUCAUAGCUGCUCCUGCGACUCGAGGGACAUGCAGAUAUUUUAAGUGCAAAUGAUACUGCCUUCAAUGACUCUGGAGCUGUAUACUCCAAGCCAAAGCCUUUACAUUUCAGAAUAUUCUUUAUUUUGGCUUUAUUCAACACAUACAACAUCUUAUGUCAAACAUGCAAGCGGAACAUCGGACAUACAACAACGGACGUUAAACAUGCAACCUGCAACACUGUACGUGAAAUAUACAACUUAUCACGUAAAUUUUACAACUUCGACGUCAAACAUGAAACGGAUGAGAAUAUUCGAGAAUAUUCUUUCUUUUGCCUUUAUCCAAAACAUGCAACAUCCAACGUCAAACAUGGAACCCGAAACGUCCGACAUGCAACAUCGGACGUUAAACAUGAAACUUGCAACACUUCACGUGAAAUAUACAAUUUAUCACGUCGAGUUCGCAACUUGGACGUCAAACAUGAAACGGGCGAGAAAAUGAGAAUAUUCUUUAUUUUGGCUUUAUCCAAAACAUGCAACAUCCGACGUCAAACAUGAAACCCCAACGUCGGACAUGCAACAACGGACCUUAAACAUGCAAUUUGCAACCCUGCACGUGAAAUAUACAACUUAUUACGUAAAGUUUGCAACUUCGACGUCAAAUAUGAAACGGACGAGAAUAUUCGAGAAUAUUCUUUAUUUUAGCUUUAUCCAAAACAUGCAACAUCCGACGUCAAACAUGGAACCCCAACGUCGGACAUGCAACAACGGACAUUAAACAUGCAACUUGCAACCCUGCACGUGAAAUAUACAACUUAUUACGUAAAGUUUGCAACUUCGACGUCAAAUAUGAAACGGACGAGAAUAUUCGAGAAUAUUCUUUAUUUUAGCUUUAUCCAAAACAUGCAACAUCCGACGUCAAACAUGAAACCCCAACGUCGGACAUGCAACAACGGACCUUAAACAUGCAAUUUGCAACCCUGCACGUGAAAUAUACAACUUAUUACGUAAAGUUUGCAACUUCGACGUCAAAUAUGAAACGGACGAGAAUAUUCGAGAAUAUUCUUUAUUUUAGCUUUAUCCAAAACAUGCAACCGUUAAACAUGCAACCUGCAACACUGCACGUGAAAUAUACAACUUAUCACGUAAAGUUUGCAACUUCGUCGUCAAACAUGAAACGGACGAGAAUAUUCGAGAAUAUUCUUUAUUUUGGCUUUAUCCAAAACAUACAACAUCCGACGUCAAACAUGGAACCCCAACGUCCGACAUGCAACAUCGGACGUUAAACAUGAAACUUACAACAUUUCACGUAAAAUAUGCAACUUAUUCAACACAUGCAACAUCUAACGUCAAACCUGAAAUCGAGACGUCUGACAUGCAACAACUGACGUCAAACCUGAAAUACUAAUUUGUUCAUUUUCAAUUUCUUUAUUUUUUGUCAUUUUAUUUAAUUAUAUUAUAUUGUAUUAUAUUGUUCAAUUUCUUUAUCUUUUACUAUUAAUUAUAUUAUAAAAAAUUAUUUUUUGACAUUUUAUUUAAUUUUUUCAAUUUUAUAAUUUUUUUAAAAUAUUUUUUAAAAAAAAUGGUGCAACCGGUUUGUUAACCGGCUGCACCAAGUCUUUGGCUGCCAAAUAGCAGCCAAAGACAGCCGGGCUCUCUUUUUGAGAGCCCGGCAUGGUGCCGGGUACAAUGCCCCGGCAUUGUAGCCAAACCCAUACUUGCCCUUUUACUUCGCCCAACAUGGUUAUUGUUAAGAAUACAAGGACGAGAAAGGAAGCAUUGGAAGCUGAGGAGAUUUUCUUAAAUGUGAUAAGAAAUAGAUUUGGCUAAUUAAAUAAUUUGUGUCAGUGAUAUCCUAUCAACUUGUGCCUAAUAAUUUAAUUAAUUUACUUCUUCUAUAUACAUUUACUCCUACGGAUAAAUAUAUAAAGUCUUCUUCUUCUUUUUUUCUUUUUUUCUUUUUUUAAUUACGAGAAUAUAAUGCAUAUAAAAACAUAUUUUUUAAAUUCUGCAGCUGUAAAUGUAAUCGGCCACUUAUGCCAGAGUGUGGCUUGUUCUAAGUAUCUUUUAUUUUCCAUUUAUAUUAUUAAGCCAGAGUGUGGCUCAUUCUAAGCAUCUUUUAUUUUCCAUUUAUAUUGUAGCAACUUCUUGAUUAUUAUAAUAGCUUUUUUUUUUUUUUUCAAUCUAUGGAAUGUAAAAAGCUCAUGGGAAUAAGAUAACUUAAGAAGUGAAGGUUGCCCCAAGCUUAUUACUUUGUAAGCUAAGCAGACACUUGCUUGGAUCCAUUAAUCCACAAGGGAAAGAUUCGUGCCCUUAUAUUCUAUUCAUAUGUUCUCUUGUGAACUAUUCAACUUGGAAAUCAUUGGAAAUCGUUAGAUACUGGGUACAGCUAAUGUAAUUUGGGAUUAGUCAAACAUGAAACGGACGAGAAUAUUCGAGAAUAUUCUUUAUUUUAGCUUUAUCCAAAACAUGCAACAUCCGACGUCAAACAUGGAACCCCAACGUCGGACAUGCAACAACGGACCUUAAACAUGCAACUUGCAACCCUGCACGUGAAAUAUAAAACUUAUCACGUAAAGUUUGCAACUUCGAGAUCCGACGUCAAACAUGGAACCCCAACGUCCGACAUGCAACAUCGGACGUUAAACAUGAAACUUACAACAUUUCACGUAAAAUAUGCAACUUAUUCAACACAUGCAACAUCUAACGUCAAACCUGAAAUCGAGACGUCUGACAUGCAACAACUGACGUCAAACCUGAAAUACUAAUUUGUUCAUUUUCAAUUUCUUUAUUUUUUGUCAUUUUAUUUAAUUAUAUUAUAUUGUAUUAUAUUGUUCAAUUUCUUUAUCUUUUACUAUUAAUUAUAUUAUAAAAAAUUAUUUUUUGACAUUUUAUUUAAUUUUUUCAAUUUUAUAAUUUUUUUAAAAUAUUUUUUAAAAAAAAUGGUGCAACCGGUUUGUUAACCGGCUGCACCAAGUCUUUGGCUGCCAAAUAGCAGCCAAAGACAGCCGGGCUCUCUUUUUGAGAGCCCGGCAUGGUGCCGGGUACAAUGCCCCGGCAUUGUAGCCAAACCCAUACUUGCCCUUUUACUUCGCCCAACAUGGUUAUUGUUAAGAAUACAAGGACGAGAAAGGAAGCAUUGGAAGCUGAGGAGAUUUUCUUAAAUGUGAUAAGAAAUAGAUUUGGCUAAUUAAAUAAUUUGUGUCAGUGAUAUCCUAUCAACUUGUGCCUAAUAAUUUAAUUAAUUUACUUCUUCUAUAUACAUUUACUCCUACGGAUAAAUAUAUAAAGUCUUCUUCUUCUUUUUUUCUUUUUUUCUUUUUUUAAUUACGAGAAUAUAAUGCAUAUAAAAACAUAUUUUUUAAAUUCUGCAGCUGUAAAUGUAAUCGGCCACUUAUGCCAGAGUGUGGCUUGUUCUAAGUAUCUUUUAUUUUCCAUUUAUAUUAUUAAGCCAGAGUGUGGCUCAUUCUAAGCAUCUUUUAUUUUCCAUUUAUAUUGUAGCAACUUCUUGAUUAUUAUAAUAGCUUUUUUUUUUUUUUUUCAAUCUAUGGAAUGUAAAAAGCUCAUGGGAAUAAGAUAACUUAAGAAGUGAAGGUUGCCCCAAGCUUAUUACUUUGUAAGCUAAGCAGACACUUGCUUGGAUCCAUUAAUCCACAAGGGAAAGAUUCGUGCCCUUAUAUUCUAUUCAUAUGUUCUCUUGUGAACUAUUCAACUUGGAAAUCAUUGGAAAUCGUUAGAUACUGGGUACAGCUAAUGUAAUUUGGGAUUAGAGAUUCCUCUCCGACUAUUUUCUCUCCUAGUCAUUCUUAGUCUUUUAAAUCUAGUGACAAAAAAAAGGUAUAACUAUAAAUAAAUUGAAAAAAAAAUUGACUUGAUUGUCAAUAUUGAAAUUCAAAAUUCAAUCUUGACAACUUAUUUCACUAGAAAAAAAUUAGGACAAAAAUAAAUAUUAAGAGAGGAUCCUUGUCCUAAAUUUAUGCAAUUAAAAUAAAAAUAUUAUUAAUGCUGACCUUGGAUUUAUAUACUCUUAAAGAAGAAAAAGAAAGGAGUGAGCAUUUUAUGAAUUUAUUAUUAUUUUUUAAUGCAAUCCAUAUGUCGAACAGUCAACCCCUAUUUAUGCAUGUACAAUAUAUAGAUUAUUUGUCACCCUAAUAGUUCUACCUGACUCGAAGGUAGAUUAGUCGGGAUCCAAUAUGAUCUUCGUAUACUAGAUGGUUUAAUAUAAAAAAAAAAAGCUUUAAGUGUUGACAUCCUAAGAGAUUAAUUUAUUUUGACCAUGUUGGUUUUGGUGGCACUAACAAACAUGGUUUAGGAGUUGACAUGCUAGUAAUAAGAAUUGAGCAUCUAUUUCAACUAGUGUUGGCAACAGGACAAAAAUGUGUCGUGAUGUCGGAUGUCAUGAGUUUUCUAUCAUACGUUGCAUAUUCUAUCACAAAUGACGUCACACUCAUAUAACCAACAUGUCAUAUGCUUAUAAUCAAUAUGUCAUAUGUAUAAUGUUUAUUAAAACAACUUGUCAUACAUGUCUAAAAACUCAUAUUUCGGGACAUUCACGAUCUCAAUUGGCAUUUUUAAAUGUUCCGAAUCCCAUCCUUAAUCUGUCGGAUCAGGAUUCGAGGAACCCUAUCAACCUUAGUUUCAAAUCCAUCUUACUUUCUUUUAUAAUUGUUAACAUUAAUAUGUUAAUAAUAUUGAUUUUGAUUAUAACAAAUUUUAAAUGUUUUUUGAUAAAAAUAUUGGAGCUAUUCCUUAAUAAACGAAAGCCUCGAUAAUCAUUCCAUUCAUUCUUUCAUAAAAGAUGGACCUUCAAAUUCAAAAAUGAUUUUCUGUAAAAUCUGUUUUAAAGUGUGAUUCUGGAAAUAAACGGUAAACCGUUUAUUUAAACGGUUAACCGAUUAAUGCCAGAGAGCAACAUAUUUCCUAAACCUCUAACCGUUUAUGAAAAACGAAAAACACAAAAGAUGGGAAGGUUACUGGAACUUAACGGUGAACCGUUUAUUUAAAACGGUUAACCGAUUAACACCAGAAAGCAACAUAUUGCUGAAGCUCUAACCGUUUAUGAAAAACGGAAAACACAAAGGAUGGAAAGGCAACUGGAACUUAACGGUGCACCGUUUAUUGUAAACAGUUAACCGAUAAUGUCCAGAAUUGAAGGUUAUCCUCCUCUGGCACUAAUUAACAAAACCUGAUAAGGCUAGUUUGUUUUGCAGGUUACUGGAGUCAAACGGCUUAUCGUUUAUUACAAACGGUUAACCAAUAAUAUCUAGAGAAGCCACUUCACGCAAGUCCUUAACCGUUUAGUGUAAACCUGCUGUACGGCCAAGGCGGAUGUACGGUACAGCAGUUUUUAAAAAAAAUGGUGCAACCGGUUUGUUAACUGGCUGCACCAAGUCUUUGGCUGCCAAAUGGCAGCCAAAGACAGCCGGGCUCUCUUUUUGAGAGCCCGGCAUGGUGCCGGGUACAAUGCCAACGGCAUUGUAGCCAAACCCGCUUGAUUAAACCUAAACCAAGCUUUUGGGUUCUAGCAGGCUAGCUGAACAAACGCAAUCCUGUCAUUAAAUCUUAACUAGCUGGUCAAGUUGGACCAUAAUCCCCCUUUUGUGGACUUUGACUAAGAUCAAAUCUCGAAACUUAUGUAAAAGCUUAAUAAUUUUACAUUUUAGAAAAAAAAAAGUUAAUAAAAAUGAAAGUUACAUUAUCUUCGAUGAUAAUCUAGUUGGUUAAUAUUUUUUAGUGAAAGCAAGAUGUUAAGGUUUCAAAUACAAGAGAUACGUUUCAUUUGGGAUGGGGUACUUGUCAAAUAAAAAUUAGCUAAAGGUUAUAUUAAUAGUAAGAGUAACACUAGGGAUCGUAGGUUUGAAUUUCAAGCUCUCAAUUAAUGCGGUGGCACUACAUCAAAUUAAUUAUUGAUGUUGAAUAUGAUGUGAUGGCUAUAUAUAAAUAACCAAAUUAAUUAGAAUUCAAAUGUUAAGAUUCAAAUUAUUAAUAUAAUAUUAAGUGAAGAUGUCAUCUAAUCCCGAGUUAGAUUCAUGACCAUGUAUUGCAUACAAAAAAAAGAGAACUUAAAAUAAUAAAUUGACUUAUUAGUAAGGUAAACCAAUGGUACUUUCUUUGUUUUUAAAAAUAAAGGGAUGGGAAAUUAAAUUUUUUAUUUAUAAAAUUCAUAAUAAUAUAUAAAUUUUCUCAAAAAAAAGAGCCGGAGUACACAUCGACUUGGCCUACACAAGGCUUUGCCUAUAACUGACUUUUCUGCAUGGUCCAUAGUCUCAUGGUUCAAGUUCUUGGUGUUUGGUCCAUUGUCUCGUGGACUUAUGGUUUGUGAUCCCAUAAUGUAUGGUCCAUGGUCUUAUGGAUGUAUGGUCCAUGAUUCCUGGUUUCAAAUUUCUAGUGUUUAGUCCAUUGUCUCAUGGACUUAAGGUUUGUCGUCCCAUAAUGUAUGGUCCAUGGUCUCAUGGAAUUAUGGUUCUUGGUCCUUAGGUGUCUAGUUCCAUCAUCGUUUUUUUUCACUUAUUCAUGAUUAUAUUAAUUGAUCAUUUCACCUUCCACUCGUACCAUCCACAUUUUUUGACUUUAAUAUUCUUUACUAUAACAAUCAUAGUCAUGAUGCUUCUAAUUCAAUUUGGGCACCUUCUCUAAUUAGUCAGAAUAAUGACUUUCCCAUUAAAAACGUUUCUAAGCAAUAAUGACUAACGGCUAGUUUGAUAAUAAUUUAACUUUUAAAAUAUUUGUUAUUUAUUAUAUUGUAAACAUAAUCAACUGUGAAGAUAAUUAGUUAAAUAUUAGGUAAAAUUUAUUUUUGUGAGUUUUAAAAACAGUCGUAAUAUUUGAAAAAAACUUAUUGUUAAACUGUUAUAAGACUUAAAAAGGAAAUGGCAAAGCUUAAAAAUGAAAAUGAAUCUCUAAAUGCAAGAAUUGUAUGCCUAGAAGUAGGGAACAAAACAUUGCAUGAUGAAAUUGCAUUAUCAAAUGAGAAACCUAGCAUCUUACAUGAGCAUUUAGAAUCACACAUAGAUGAGUUGAAAAAAUGAUUAAAUGAGAACAAAAUGCUCAAGAAAAAGAGUAAUGAAUUGAAUGAAAUUGUUUUGAAAUUUACAAAUGGGCAACAGAUGUUGGAUAAUAUGCUUAACUCACAAAAAUGUGUUUUUGAUAAAGGAGGACUUGGAUAUAAGCCUAACUUGAAGCAAAAAUAUUAUAAGAAUUAUUUUGUUAAAGCUACCUCCACAAAUGAUCAUAAGAUUGUAUGUCAUUAUUGUAAUCAAAAUGGUCACAUGAAAUAUAGAUGUCCCGUGAAAAGGAAUGCAUAUUAUGAUGUCAAAUGCAUUUGGGUUCCAAAAGGAACCGUUGCUAACUCUCAAGGACCCAAAAAGCUUUGGGUACCUAAAACUUGAGAUUUUUUCUUGUAGGGCUUGAAGAAGAAGAAAAAUAAAUGGUACUUGGACAGCGGUUGUUCAAGGCACAUGACCGGAAACUAUGCAUGGUUCUCAAGCUUCACCAAAAUUGAAAAUGGUGGAGACGUAUCUUUUGGAGACAACUCAAAAGGAAAAAUUCUUGGAAUUGGAAAUGUUAGUAAAGUCUUUUCAACUCUAAUUGAGAAUGUAUGUUUAGUUGAGAACUUGAAACACAACUUAAUUAGCAUUAGUCAAUUAUGUGACAAAGGUUAUAAAGUUAUCUUUGAUAAAUUUAUUUGUGUUAUUGAGAACUCAUGUGAUGGCAAAACCUUGUUUGUUGGUAAUAGAUGUGGUAAUGUUUAUAUCAUUGACAUAGAAUGUGCAUCUACUCUUGAUAAAUGUUUUUCCGCAUUACAUGAUGAUAGUUGGCUAUGGCAUAGAAGAUUAGGACAUGCAAGUAUGGAUUUGAUUUCGAAAAUUUCGAAAAAUGAUUUAGUUAAAGGUCUUCCGAAAAUUGGUUUUCAAAAGGAUAAGAUUUGUGAAGCUUGUCAAUUUGGAAAACAAAUCAAAACCUCUUUCAAAAACAAAAACCAUAUCUCUACUUCAAAACCACUUGAACUUCUUCACAUAGAUCUAUUUGGACCAUCUAGAUAUGCUAGUCUAAAUGGAAAAUAUUAUGCAUUUGUGAUAGUGGAUGAUUAUUCUAGAUAUACAUGGGUAUUAUUCUUAGCCAAUAAGGAUGAUGCUCUUGAUGCUUUUAAAGUGCUUUGGUACAGCAGUACUUACACGACCUACAUGACUAACUAUAUAACGUACACGGUAUCAAAAGAAUGCACGACUCGAAACAUUUUCGCCAUAAAUAAGUUAUAUUGCUGAAAAAAAUAAUUAAACAACCUACAUUGCAUAUAUUUCUACGUAUAAGAAAAAAUGGUGAAAAUAAAACAUUGUAAUGUGAGGAAAAUUUCUAAAUUUUCCUAAAAAUUAAAAAAUUAAAAAAUUUAAAACCCAACAACAUUAACAUACCUUAUUGGGUUGUUUAAUAAGCAAUGCACCUUUAAAGAAAGAGUGGGUGUUAAAUAAAUGAAUACAUAAUUGUAUUUGUGUAAGAAGUUAUGAGAGAUUUUGAGAGAUUCUAAGAGAUUUUGAAAGAAUCGGCAGCAAAAAUAGAUUUAGGUGAAAGAAAUGAGGAAAGAAAUAUGAAGAGAAUUCAUUAAGUGCAUUUGAUGCAUUCAUUAAGGGUAUUCCCGACUUUGCUCACAUUUGUUAGGGUAUCCAUGAAAACCAAAAAGGGAGGGGGUAUUUAAAUAAUUUUGAAACUAUUAAAGGGUAUUUAAUUAAAAACCCCGAAGAAUGAGGCUGGUUGGGAUGAUUUAGGUUUUUAUUAGGGCAAUUUCGUAACUGCACAUUACAAAAGGCAUAUAUGAAAAAUUUUAGAGAAUGGGGGUGUAUUUAGAUAAAUAUCCUAUUUUUGGGUAUGCCACGGACAAAUCCCUGAAUUAAUCCCCUCCCACUCACUCCUUGGCCAAUUUUGUUGUUAUCCAAAAAAAACAAUUUAAUUCCCUCCCACUCUCUCCCCGACCACUUCACUUUACUUGAUUUUGUAUUAAAAACUACCCAUCUUUAUCUUUUGUAAUCCUUUCCAAUUUGUGCGUGUGUUUGUGAAUGAUGAUAACAGAACAAAACCCACGACUAUGGAGGCAACACUGUAACUCUACCUUAGCCGCCGCAUAAGCCACUAGAAUCACGCCCUUUGCCGCCACUCAAAAGCUCGCCGCUCAAAGCACGCCACCCUCACCAGUUCACUCACGCAUGCCAAAAUAAGCCACUCGACAAAAUUCACUCUCAUCUCUCGUUCUACUUCGAAAUUGUGAGUAUAUAUAAACUCAGCCAAUUUAAUUUUGAUUAGUUUAGUUGUGAAUGGAUUAUGUGAAAUUCAUAUUUUUGUGUUUGGUAAAAUUAGGGAUUGUAAUUCUUAGAUCUAUUAUUUGAAUAUUUUUAUGCUUAUCAAGUGCUUGAUAAAAUUCCUAAGAGAAUCUAGUAAAAGAAAAACAUAAAAUAUAUGCAAAUAAAUGAAGGAAUUUGAAGCAAAGUUUAGUAGGUUUUGAGAAACUUUUGCAAAAUUAGGAUAUUAAGAUGAAUUUGUUUUUCAAUUUGAGCAGUGGGUUUAGGCGUGCUGAUAUCAGAUUUUUUUUUCCUAAUAUUUUUUCAUAAGAACUUUCGAAAAUGGGAUCUUUCUAAUUUUUGUUCACUUCAACUUGGUAUGUAAUUAAUCAUCUUUCUUUAUUUUUUUAAAGAAAAUUAUAGCUAGUAUUAAUAUAAUAAAAAGAGUUAGUAAAUUAUUCAAGUCCAGCCAAUAUAAUAAUAAGUUAAGCUACAAAAUUUUAAAUAUAAAAUAUUAGGUAGCUUUGAUGCGUUGUUUAAAAGGACGAUUUUGAAGCUUGGGUUGCUAAAGUAGUAAAGUUUGCUCAAAAUAUUGUUGGAUUUGCUGGGAAGUGACUAAAUAAAGAUUAACAAGCCUUCCCCCCCACCAAGUGGUUGUUGUAUGUUUAGUCAAAAUUAAUAUACUUAUCUUCCUUUGUACUGGGAUAACAAAAAUGUAUAGAGAGUUUCCUUAAUACUUUGUUUCAGAAAAUGUAUUGGAGUGAGUGAAAAAGGUUCAAGUAGUCUCCAUACAAAAUCUAAAUGUGUACGUUAUUUUAUUUUUCAUUUUUUACUUAAUCUUUUAUUUCUUUCAACUUUAUAUUUAUUUUACUGUAAACAUUGAUUCAUUGACUGCUUAAUAAUUUAAUUUAAUUCAAGUUUGAUGCCAACUAUUUAAUAGAUUAACUUCAGAGCUUUGGAUGCAAAAUUUGUGCAGGUGCAUCGAGGUUGAUUAUGUGCUUGUAAUCUUUUGAUUAUAUUGUUAAUUUGAAGUAAUAAUGAAAGCAAGUAUGUGCUUGGCAUUACCUAAAUAUUUUUGGGCCGAAGCCGUCAACACCGCUUGCUAUGUUUUAAAUCGGGUGUUGAUUAGACCUCAUCUCAAUAAAACUUCCUAUGAGCUUUGGAAAGAUAGAAAACCCAACAUUGGCUAUUUCAAAGUUUUUGGAUGCAAAUGUUUUAUUUUAAACACAAAAGAUAAUCUUGGUAAAUUUGAUCCAAAAUCUGAUGUUGGCAUCUUUCUUGGGUAUUCAAACUCAAGUAAAGCUUACAGAGUUUAAUAUAAAAGAACUUUAGUUGUGGAAGAAUCUAUGCAUGUUACGUUUGAUGAGUCUAACCCUUUCUCUGCGGAGAAAGGAGUUGCUAAUGAUGAUGCAGAUGGAGACUUACAAGAGGAAUCAUCAAAAGAGAUUCAAGAAAAUGCACCACAAGAAAAUCAAGAGGAUAGACAAGAAGAACAAACCAAUACGGAGCUGGAGCAACAAGAAGGUAUUUCUCAAACACUCCCCAAGGAGUGGAGGUAUAUCUCUUCUCAUCCUAAAGAUGUAAUUUCAGGAGAUCCCUCACGAGGUGUUACAACUAGAUCAUCUCUUAAGAAUACUUGUGAGCACAAUGUAUUUAUCUCUCAAAUUGAACCCAAAUCCUUUGCGGAUGCGGAAAAUGACGAAUCUUGGAUUAUGGCAAUGCAAGAGGAGUUAAAUCAAUUUGAAAGAAACAAUGUGUGGGAAUUAGUUCCUAAACCGGAACAUCAAUCUGUCAUAGGCACUAAAUGGGUAUUUAGAAAUAAGAUGGAUGAAUCCGGGGUGGUUGUAAGAAAUAAAGCUAGAUUAGUGGCUCAAGGUUACAACCAAGAAGAAUGAAUUGAUUUUGGUGAAACUUUUGCACCUGUAGCAAGGUUAGAAUCCAUUAGGAUGUUGUUAGCAUAUGCAUGUCAUAAGGAUUUUAUUUUAUAUUAAAUGGAUGUCAAGAGUGCUUUCUUAAAUGGAUAUAUUAUGGAGGAAAUUUAUGUGAAACAACCUCCUGGUUUUGAAAAUGAAAAAUUUCCAAAUCAUGUUUAUAAGUUGCUUAAAGCCUUGUAUGGAUUAAAACAAGCACCUAGAGCAUGGUAUGAUAGACUUAAAAAUUUCUUGCUAGAAAAUGACUUCUCUAUGGGUAAAGCGGAUACUAGCUGUUAAAAGAAUUUUUCGUUAUUUGAGUGGAACCAUAGAUAUUGGCCUUUGGUAUCCUAGGGGAACUCAUAUGGAUUUAACAUGUUUUUCGGAUGCGGAUUUUGCUGGUUAUAAAGUGGAUAGGAAGAGCACUAGUGGAACUUGCUAUAUUCUAGGACACUCUCUUGUUUCAUGGUUUAGCAAGAAACAAAAUUCUGUUACACUUUCAACUACCGAAGCUGAAUAUAUAGCUGCUGGAAGUUGUUGUGCACAAGCACUUUGGAUGAAACAAACACUUAGAGAUUAUGGUAUUAAUCUUGAACAAAUUCCUAUUAAGUGUGAUAAUACUAGUGCUAUAAACCUUUCAAAGAAUCCCAUUCAACACUCUCGAACCAAGCAUAUAGAAAUAAGACAUCAUUUCUUGAGAGAUCAUGUUCAAAAGGGAGAUAUUGCAUUAGAGUUUAUUUCCACGGAAAAACAACUUGCCGAUAUUUUCACAAAACCGCUUUGCGAAGAACAAUUUUCAAAAAUUCGGCAUGAACUUGGGAUGAUGAAAUUUUUGCAUUAACGUCUCUAUUCAUGCUAUUGAGUGUACUGAAUUGAUUAACUAUUAUUUAUGAAAUGCUUGAGCUUGAUAGUCAAAUGAUGAAUUUGCCUUGAUAAUUCUUGAUUAUAUGAAUUAAUUGGUUGAAAACAUGUUCAUGAAUCAUGCAUUAAAAUGGCUCAUAAAAUAUUUUCAGAUCAAUUAAAUGAUCUUGGAAUAUAUUAUUUGCUGGCCAAAAAUUAAAUCAAAUGUGCGAAAUUACAGAUAAAAUAAACGGUUAGCCGUUUAUUAUAAACGGAUCACCGUUUAAUUCCAGAAACGAGAUUAUAUGUCUGUCCGUUUACUCUUUCACCGUUUGCUACAAUCGGUGAACCGUUUUUCAAUAUAGAGUCCUUUAACAGUUACUCCUUAGCCGUUAAGCGUUUAAGCCUUCACCGUUACCUAUUCCUUAGUCUCUGUAAGUUACCCUUUAACCGUUUAGUUAAACGGUUAACCGUUUUCUCGAGUAUAAAACUGUUCAAAGGUUUUCUUCGUCUUCUCCAGUUACCCCUUCACCGUUUCAGCCAUUGUUGCGCAGCCGGAGGUCUCUCUACCCUCAAAUCCUCAUUUUUCUUGCUUUUCUUGCCAAAUCAAACCUUCAACAUCAUUUAUUAUCACCUUUAGAACAACUUCACCGAUUCAAAACAUCAAAUCUAGCCUAAAAUUCAAAAAUCCCAAAUCGAAACCCUAACUGCCGCGGGUUGGGUUUUCUCAUUUUUAAUCCGAUUCCUCCCCUUCGUCAAUCAAUUUGUGCACCCAACUCACAUCCCAUAUACAUCCUUAAGAUUAUCAUCAAUUCAUUUUCCUCUCUCCUGCUUCGAGUUUAUCCAAACUUAGUGCGAGUCUUUUAUUCGAACAUGGAAAUCUCCGACACUCGCCCAAAUAGGAUAGUUACUCAAGUCGGUCGUGUGCCAAUAGAGUUUGAUGAUGCGGACUUAGCUGACCUUCUUGGUAUCCCUUGUGAGGGGCUUGAUAUUUACACCUCUAGGAAAGCCCUUUCAUUUGACAGUUUUUCUCAUACUCAUGGCGUCCGUAAUAUAUGUCGUCGUCGAGACUUAUCGGAUGAGAUUUGUUUGCUUCCGUUUCGGUCUCAACUUUUACCUCUCCAAGUUCGUAUUCUUCACUCUAUUUUACAGCACAUAGUGACACCUAGGAAGGGUCACUCGGAUGAAGUUAUGAGGUUGGACGUUGCCCUAUUAGAUAGCCUUCUUACAAACCGUCCCAUAAACCUCGGGUAUAUUAUUGUGCGACAUAUGUUGAGUACUCCCGCGGUCAAUCACCGCUUGCUUCCUUAUGGCAGUAUCAUCACUAAGAUACUGCAACGCUUUGAGGUUCCACUUCUUGAUACUGGACAUAUGGAGACUCGACAGAUUGGUCCCGAGGCCAUGACUAGUAUCGGUUUCUCUAGGAAGAAUGGAGUGUGGAUAAAGACAAGCAACUCCAAAAACCGGGAUACCUAGAUUGCUCCAGAGGACGAUCGGAUGCUCAAUGAUAUCUAUCCUCCAGAUCAGCUUCCUGACUUUAGAUUAGGAGCUCAUCCUCCUCCUCCGCGUCGUCGUUUUGUCCCUCGGCCUCCAGCUGACUCAGACUCUGAGGAGCGUGCGAUGGAUGCUGACAUUCCCUCCUCUUCCGAGCCGCCUUCUGCUCCUGAGCCAUCUGCUAUUCCUGAGCAGCCAUCUGCCGCUAUGCCGCCUUCAGCUCCAGUUCAGCCUCCUGCUUCAGACGUUGUCCAGCAGUUGGUUACUGAUGUUCACCAGAUCUCGGAGCGCCAGCAGCUGAUUCUUGAUUGGUUGGACACCAUUUCCCGUGACCACCAGCAGCUCCGCUCUGACUUUCAGACUUUCCAGCAGCUCGAGCUUAUCGCCGGACAGCGUACUCUUCUCCGCUAUUUCGGCUAUGAUCCGGGGAGCACAUCUUCUCCGCCUCCGUAGUUUCUGAGUUCAGUUUUCGCACAUACAUUUCAUAUUUUGGUGGUUUGCAUUUAUAUUUUUUUUGGGUUUUGAUGCAUAUGUGUGUGAUGUUCUUGAUGAUUAGAUGAUUUUUGGAUUUUGAUGCAUAAGUAUUGGUUUAUUUGUGGAUAUUGUAAUGUUGGUAUGUUUUUGGAUAUUAGAGUGUUGUUUUGUUUUGUUCAUGGAGUUGUUGGCUUGUUGAAAGAUGAAGUUGGUGUUAAUCUAUUUUAGAGGUGUUUUAAUCUCAUUUUGUAUUAGUGGUUUUGAUCAUUUUUAAGGGGAAACUCUGCCCAAUUUUUCGCUCGCCAAAAUCGGGUAACUUCUUUCACGAAUUUGCAAUUUUUUUUUCCCUAUUCUCUCUUUUCUUUUUUAUGAUGAAGGGGGAGAUAAUUAUGGUAUUUAAAAUGGAUUUAUGGUAUUUAAGAAGGAUUUAAAAUGGGGAGAUUAAGAAUGAAUUUAAAAAGGUUUUCUUGAGCAAAAAUUCUGUUAUUGAACAUUUCUCAAUUUGGCCAUACAUUUAGGGAGAGCACAUAUUAAGGGGGAGCUAAACAUUGAUUAGAAUUUGUCAUCAUAAAAAAGGGGGAGAUUGUUAACAUUAAUAUGUUAAUAAUAUUGAUUUUGAUGAUAACAAAUUUUAAAUAUUUUUUGAUAAAAAUAUUGGAGUUAUUCCUUAAUAAACGAAAGCCUCGAUAAUCAUUCCAUUCAUUCUUUCAUAAAAGAUGGACCUUCAAAUUCAAAAAUGAUUUUCUGUAAAAUAUGUUUUAAAGUGUGAUUCUGGAAAUAAACGGUAAACCGUUUAUUUAAACGGUUAACCGAUUAAUGCCAGAGAGCAACAUAUUUCCUAAACCUCUAACCGUUUAUGAAAAACGAAAAACACAAAAGAUGGGAAGGUUACUGGAACUUAACGGUGAACCGUUUAUUUAAAACGGUUAACCGAUUAACACCAGAAAGUAACAUAUUGCUGAAGCUCUAACCGUUUAUGAAAAAUGGAAAACACAAAGGAUGGAAAGGCAACUGGAACUUAACGGUGCACCGUUUAUUGUAAACAGUUAACCGAUAAUGUCCAGAAUUGAAGGUUAUCCUCCUCUGGCACUAAUUAACAAAACCUGAUAAGGCUAGUUUGUUUUGCAGGUUACUGGAGUCAAACGGCUUAUCGUUUAUUACAAACGGUUAACCAAUAAUAUCUAGAGAAGCCACUUCACGCAAGUCCUUAACCGUUUAGUGUAAACGGAUAACCAAUGUUCAUCUUGCAGGUCUCUGGAAGUUAACGGCGAAAGGUUAAUCGUAAACGGCAAACCGUUUAUGUGAAAUCUGGUCCAACGGUAACUUUGACCAACCAAAACGGUUAACCGUUUAUGUCUAACGGCGAACCGUUUUCUGUCCGACAGUUUGUAACGGCUAGAUUUUCAUCUCCAGAUAUAAAUAAGCUCAUUCAAAUUCAAAGAAGAUUGAUCACAACACGACCAUUGAGCUAAUAUUCGAGAAUACAACCUUCAUAGAGCUUAUAACACAUUCUUGCUUCAUCUAUUCACAUAUUAAGCAUCAUUGUGUAAUCUUAUAUAUUGUGAGAGGCAAAAACAAUUUGUAAUCUUUUAUUUUGAGUGAUUAUAAGUGUUGGGAUACACUUGGGUUAAGAGAUUGGGGAUAAUCUCUUGUUGUAAAGGUUUAUUGACACCUUGGAAGUCAAUUGUAAGCAUUUGAAGCCUUGGUGGCUUGCUUAGUGGAAUCCUCAAGGCCGGAAAGCUGGGAGGCGUGGACGUAGGCAAGGUUGGCCGAACCACGUAAAAAUCUCAGUGUUUGAAUCCCUCUUCCCUUAUCUUUUUACAUUGUGAUCAACUUAAUUGUUUUUGCUUUGAAUUUGGAUUAUAUUUGCAUUAAGUUUUUCUUUAUAAAUUGAAUAAUUUUUGGAAUCUCAAUUCACCCCCCCCUCUUGGGUUGCAUACUUGUUUUUCAAUAAUAACAUAUUCAUGAGUUCUGGUAUGUUAUUAUUAACAAUGCAUGAGUUUUUCUUUUUUAGAUUAUCCUAUCUUUGUAUUUAUAUUAAAUAAUGACAUGCUUAAAAAAUAAAGUUGCUUAAAAACCACUAAAUCCGAUCAGUAGAGAAUGAAUCUAAUAAAAUCAAUAUCAUUCAAACUUUAAAAUAAAUUUAAUACGUAUACUGCUAUAAAAUCACUAGCGAAUAUCUAAAAAUAUGCCAUGAUCGUGGUUAACUAUCCUUUUGCACUAAAUGCCUAGAAUAAUUAAUUGAUAGAGAAAAAAUAUUAUGCAUAGGCUUAUAAAGCUAAUAUUAUAAGUUUAACACAGUACAACCCUCAACUUUUAAGCUAGCUUUAAGUAUAUUGUCUCAUGCAUUUCUAUAUUAAUAAGCCAAGGUUCUUAUUAAUUAAUUAAUUAAUUAAUUUUAACGAGAGUAACAUAGGAUUUUCUAAAGAGGAUUUUUUUUUAUUUAAUGCAUACAAUAUAAUGAUGCUCGAACGAAGCUCGAACGUAAAAGAAGAAGACUGCUUGUUGUGAAAAAUUUUAAUAUACUCGCAAGCGUACGAAUCUAGUAUAUAAUAGUGGUAACGAGGUCGAACCCACAAGGAUUGUUACGAAUUGAAAAUUAUAUUUUAAAUCUAAAAUUAAUAUUAAUCUUAACCUAGUUGGGCAAAUUGAGUUUUUUUAAGAAAAUUAAAUUAAGAAAACAAUUAAAGCAAAUGAGAAUUCAAUAAGACAAAAAUUACCAAGGUUUCAGAAUCCACCACUAUUCAACUAGUAAUUAUCUAAUUAUUAAUUAAUCUCCAAUUU